rnacentral:lncRNA from 1 species
UCCAUUGCAAUUGUACCUAAAACAAACAAAACAAACUCAUAAAAGAAAAUAAUUAGUUCACAAAAUCCUCACCACGCUCUCACACACUUUGAUCAUCUCACGCUUGGUUUCAUAAGUUGCAAGUUGGCUUGUAGUUCAUAAUGAAUUAAGGGGUGAGUCUACUCCUUGGUCAGAAUGGAUUCUUUGCUUGAAGACUCAAGAAAGUAAUGUCCAAAAUUGAACCAAGAAAUACUAUGAUUCAAAAACAAUAAAAGCAAAAAAAUAACGCUAACAGGAAGAAGCGAGCACAAAAACUAACUUACAAUCUAGUGGAAGAGUACUAGCUUGUCGAUUAGUUACUAGAGUCAAUAAACGAAACUAGGAAUCAAGAAUAAGAAACUAAAAAUCUGAAAUUUUGAGCCUAAGGUUGUUUUUUAGAGGGUGAUGACAUAGCAUUUGAUGACGUGGCAGUUUGGUGAUGUGGCAAUUUGGUGACGUGGCAAUUUGCAAUUUGGAUUGGUCAAAUUUUAAUUUGGAAUGGUGAAAAUCAGCUUUGGGAGGGAAAUAAUAAGACUUGGAGCCUCUUUUUCAAUUUAAAAAAGCUUUGACUUCCUUUCACCUUUUUGGAAAGACACCUUUUUGAAAGGUGGUUAGCUCUUUUCUCUUUUGUUAGUUUUGGAAUAAGCUUUUACUCUCUUUUGGUAAACAAGACUUUUGAAAUCCCUUUUGUCCCCUUUUCCUUUUGGAUGUCUUGGGAUUGUAUCUUUCAAGAAAAAUACAAAAUCACACUCCUUUAUUUACCUUUUUAGAUCAAAUCACCCCUUUUUGAAUGUUCUUGCUCAACAAUACAUGAAGAACAACAAGAACAUUCAAGAAUGGAAACCAACCCAAAUGAGCUCCAAAUUGAAUGAUUUUGGUUUCUUUUAGCUCACGUUGAACUCCACAACAACAAAAACACGUAUUCAAACCCACAUCCUCAACAACAAACAUCAACAAUACACUUUCAAGCCAUCAAUCCUAAAAAAAUAGCAACCAUCAAAGUUCAAGAUCAACUCAGAAGUGGCUCAAAAUUUGGAUCUUGACUCUUUUAGUGUUAGUGAAGAAGGGGCUAACACUAGAAACAACCAAAGCGCAGAAAAAUCUCCUAAAUCUAAGAUACAAAUUUUAUCCUAGACACAAAAAAUAGGACAGAAUAUUUCUUUUUGGAUUUUUGUUUUUUUCAACACAUCUUUUUUUUUAUGAUUUUUGAGUUAGUAGGCCCACUCAGAUACCAAAUGAUACCAGACGGUCCAAACAAGGCACAAAACAGACACAAAAAUUUCAUAAAUUGUCCACAAGAACAAGACACAAAAAUGAUAACAAGAUGACAACACAAGAACACACGAAUUGCAAUAGAUAAAAUGGAUAGAUAAAUUGAGAAAAGAGUGUAUAAACUCUAAGAACCCUAAGUAUAUUAAAUCUAAGGACCCUUAAAACCUACACAAACUAUCACCAAUAUCUUACAUAGACACAAGAGAGAUGUUACCUCCUCUAGCACCAACAUUUUAAGCCAACGAUUGCAACACAAGUGAUAUCCAUACUUGGUGUCCUCAUUUCGGUUUGGUGGCUAUUCCAAGCCCUACAACUAAAGGUGUUACACUCCUCACACUAGAGAGAGUUUGUUAAAAUAUUUUCAAAGUAUUACAUCAAUAAAUAACCAAAGAGUAAAAUCCCUAAUACUAAACUAUAUAUAGUCUUAUUACAAUUGAAGGACAAAAAAACCAAAACACCCUUAAUGAAGUGUAGGUAACAAUAGAGUGUAAAUUAGGCAUGUGAAAUCCCUAAAAAACCCUUAAUGAAAGUGAUCUUCAAUGAUCCAAGGCCGUGGUUCUUCAAGCAUCCCCCAAGACACCUUCCACACGUGGUUUUGCCUCAUGGAAUGCUCGAAAUGGCCUCUCUAUACAUGUUCUCUUCCCCUCAAUGUGACCACAAUUGAAUCCUUCAUGUGUUGGUCUCAAAUGAUGUCUUCCAAAGCUAGGAUAGCAAUUUGGCUCGUAUCACGUAGGAUAUAUGCUGUAUUUCUGCUGUUACCCCAUCCGUGUAUAGUGGUCUCCCCACUGCACUCAUAAUUUUACUCAAAGCUUUAGUUGGCCAGUAUCCUACCGAAAGUCCAAGAAAUGUAAUCUAUAAGAGAAUUAUGGUGAUACAGUUGGAUUGAAACUCAAAGUUCAACUCCCAUGCUUGAACUAUAAAUGGUUUAUUAUGAAAUACAUAUGUCCCCCAUUUAGAAUACAGUCACAAUUCUCCUGAGAUAAAAAUUGGAAUAUGAAGUAACCCUCAUGAUGAGUUAGGACUUAUGGCAUUUUUACCCCUUUCUAGACAGUUAAAAUAUAGCUCUCCAUGCUCUUGACAAAAGGGGUAUCUCCUAAGACAUAACCAAUCAAUGGAGUUUUCUAAUAUGCCUCCUGGGUCUUGAUAUCCUCCCUAUCAAUCUUCACAAGUUUUUUAUCAUCCUUGGUGAUUGGAGCAACAUACGUAGGAGUUUUCCCCUUGAUAGCCUGUCGAUUCUGUUGGUAAUCAUUUUUUAUUGUGGGUGGCGGUUGUGGGAUAGUAGGUAAUCAGAUAAUUAGAGUCAAUGAUUUGUCAUACUAGAAUCCCCAAAAUCUCAAAGUCGAAUUGACCCAUUUGAGUCUAAAUCAGUCAAUUUCACCUCCUCAUCCUCUGGAAUGGACAUGAAUUUUGGGGGUAGGUAGGUUCCAAAGGUUAUGGAAUGAAGCUAGGUCUUUGGAAGUCUACCGGGAUGACUAGUUUAGAUGGUGAUGUGGUGGUGGAGCAAGUCAUAUCUGCACCAGCGUAUUUUAGCGAAUCCUUGCUAACAUACACUGAGAGAAAAAUAUGAUCUCCUCUUGUCCUAUUUUUUUUUUCAAAAUUUUUUUUACGUUCUUGGUAAUUUAAUUCAAUUCAGUCCUUGUAUGAUCCUAUGGAAUAAUUGAUUUAUUCAUGCUUUAAAUCUCGGUUUCCCUUGUCUUAUUCAAGUGAACUUUGUGUUGUUGAUUUCUCAUGUUUAGAAUAUACUGAUGUUCAAGUUCAUGCUUUUGACAUGCUUGGUGAAAUGUCUAUGUCUUGGGUUGAACCAUGAUUCCAUACUAUAUUUUUAAGCUUAAAUGACAUAUUUUAUAAUCAUUCAGUGCUGGUGGGUUAUGAACACUCGAUACCUACGUGUUUUAUAUGAUUUCAGAUUUUCAAGUACUGAUUUAGUUAAACCGUGAAUAUUCCUAUUUAUUCUGUUGAUAUGAUCAUGAUGAGCAUUAUCAGAAAUAAUAUUCAGUUAACUUUAGUUCAGUUCAGUUGGGAGUAGGAUUUAGCACCAAGAGAACCCAGGAAUGGGGGCUCACCUGCCAGUAGAGGGUGACUCCUUAGUCCUUCGGGACACCAGUUUAGUGGAUCCAUUCAGCCAGUGUUAGUACCCUUGGCAUAGUUCUAACACUCUCCCUACUGAGGUUACAGGUUGGACCCUAAUUAGCUCAAAUUGAGGCAUGUAGGUUACAUGAUACCUCCCAUAAUUUUAGUCCAAUUAUUUAGACUAAGUACAAUUCAGUAUUACAUGAUCAGUAUUCAAAUAUCAAUUAAUCAGUCUACAGAUACCAGUUAAUCAUUCAUCGGUAUGUCUCAACUCAAGUUUGCUUUUCCAAAGCAUACAAAUUUUUAGUUAUUCAGUUAUUUACAGAUUAUCACAGAAACAUGUUUAUGCUUGGUAUUGCAUUCUCAGAUUUUAGAUGUUCAUAAAUAUAUGCUAGGUUAUCUCAUGCAUUUUAGUCAGUCCUUAUCUUACGUACCAGUACAUUCAAAGUACUAAUCGCAUACUUUUCUUUGCAUUAUGUUGUCUUAAACAUAGGUUCGGACGCUCAGUUUCCCGAUCGCUCUUAGAUAACUCAAUGUACUCAACAACAGUAGUCGUAAGUCUUCAUCCAUCGAGGACAUGAUUUGCUUAUUUAAGUUAUUUCAGUACUUCCUUAUGUUCAGCUUGUCAGAGUUUGUUGGGGGUCUGUCCAAUCAACUCCUCAGUUAGUUUAAAGGCUUUCAGACAAUCAGACAGUCAGUCGGCAGUUAGUCAGUUACCUGUUCGUUCAGUACUUUUCCAUUAUUUCAAAUAGACGAUUGGUUUUUAAUAUUUAUCAGAUAUUUUAGAUUUGUGAUGUAAUCAUCUCAAUAUUGAAAUUGGUAUUACUUCAGCAGUUUAUUUUCCACAUAUGUGUUUUAUUAUUAUUAUUUUUAGUACUUACAACAGGUACUAGCUCAUGGGUUAGCUUGUGAUCACUUGUGUCAGUAAGCACCAUUAUCGCGAAUAGGGGGUAGCUUUGGGUCAUGACAAAACUUGGUAUCAUAUUCUAAGGGUUUAGAGUGUCCUAGGAAGUCUGAAAGCCGCGUUGAGUAGAGUCUUGUGCAUGGGUGUGAAGCACAUCACACUUAUGGACAAGAGUCUAUGAAACAUUUUAGGUAAGUUUCCCUUCUUUCAGUAUUCAUGUUAUGAGAAAGAGCAUGAGCUCUAUUUAAGCUAUCUUUCUAACUUAUCCUUUAUUCUAUUUACAGAUAGUGCCUCCCAGAAGAAACAACAGAAGAAGGAAUGGGGAUCAUCCUAUACCCCUACCUGUUCAGGAAGUUUUCUUAAAUAAAUAUGUCUUGCAUGUCAAAUUCAGGGCUACUUUCACUACUAUAGCCCACUCCGUAGCUGCCCAGAACAACCAAAAGGCUAUUUCUCCAGUCAAUCCAGUGGCUAAUAUAGCUACAUUUAGGAUUUGGGAUUUUUUCAGAUGAAUCCCCCUUUGUUUUUUGGAUCCAAGUCUAAAGAAGAUCAGUAGGAAUUUCUAGAUAUGAUGCAGAAAGUGACUGAUAUUAUAGGUGUCACUUCGAGUGAGGGUGCAGAUUUGACUGCAUAUCUAUAGUAGGAUGUAGCUUACACCUAGUUUAAGUAGUGGAAGAAAAACCAUGGUGUUGAUGCAGGGCCGAUAGAGUGGGAGGAGUUUGCCACAACUUUUGUAGGCAGGUUAUUUCCCUUAGAGUUAAGGGAAGAUAUGGUUUAGGAUUUUAUCAAUUUGAAGUAGGUUAAAUGAGCAUAAAGGAAUACUCGCUUAAGUUCACUCAGUUGGCGAAGUAUGCUCUUUCUAUGGAUGCGGAAAAUAGGUCUAGAAUGAGUAAAUUUAUGUCGGGUGUACCUGAUAGUGUGGUGAAGGAGUGUAGGACUGCCAUGUUGAUUAAGGAGAUAGACCUAUCUAGGCUUAUUGUUUAUGCACAACAGAUUAAGGAGGAAAAACAUAAGGAGAAAAAGAGAGAGUAAGAGGGCCAGAACAGGUAGCUUUAACUUUUCUCAACCAAGAUUAGAAGGCGGUAACCGUUCUCAGUUUCAUCAAAAAAUUUUUGCCCCAACUCCAUCUUCAGAUAGUGCAUCAGUGCCUAAGUUCAAGCAAAAUAGUUGAGACAGGGCGCCAGGAUCUAAGUCCCAGGAUAGUAUGAAUAGUAGUCGUACUAAUCCGCUUUUUCAGAAAUAUGGUAGGAAUCAUCCAGGUGAGUGUAAGGCUAGUAGUGAUAUGUGUUUUAGUUAUGGAAAUCCAGGCCACAGGGUCAGGGAUUGCCUGAGGUCUGGUUAGCAGGGUCAGUCCAAUCGUUCUUCAGCUCCAGCAGGUUGCCCGACUCAAUAGGGUGCUACUUCUAGUGCCACCAGGGACAACGCCAAAAUAGGUUGUAGGCACUCCAGACUCGACAUGAUCAGGAAAGUUCUCCUGAUGUGGUUACAAGUAUAUUUCAGGUUUUCCAUCUUUAUACUUAUGCAUUGUUAGAUCCCAGAGCUUCACUUUCUUUUAUAACUCCUUAUAUAAUUGUUAAUUUCAGUAUCAGUACUAAAAUGUUAGCAAUACCUUUCUACGUGUCUAUCACAGUGGGUAAAUUUAUUAUAACCAGAUGGGUAUACAGAAAUUAACUGAUCACAGUAUCUCAGAAAAUCACUUUAGCUGAUCUUGUGGAGUUAGAGAUGACUUAUUUCAAUAUCAUUCUCUAUAUGGAUUAGCUCUACUCAUGCUAUGCCUCAGUUGACUGUAGAAAUAAAGUCGUUCAGGUUUAGUUUCCCAAUGAACCAAUUAUUGAAUGGAGGGGUAAUACCUUUGUGCUUAGGGGUCAGAUCAUUUCUUAUCUUAAAGCAAUAAAGAUGAUAUCUAAAAUGUGUGUUUACCAUCUUUUUUGUGUCAAGGACUCUAGUUUUAAGACUCCGAGUCUCAUCAAUUUCAGUAGUAAGGGAAUUUCCAGAUGUGUUCCUUGAAGAUCUUCCCAGAGUUCCUCCCAAAAGGGAAAUUGACUUCGAAAUAGAUCUCCUUCCAGUUACCCAACCUAUCUCUAUUCCACCCUAUAAAAUAAAUCCAUCUGAGCUUAAGGGGUUGAAAGAACAGUUAAAAGAUCUUUUAGAUAAGGAUUUUAUUAGGCCUAGUGUUUCUCCUUGGGGCGCUCCAGUUCAUGCGUAAGAAAGAUGGUUCCUUAGAAUAUUCAUCAACUACUAUCAGUUGAACAAAGUCACAAUCCAGAAUAAGUAUCCACUUCCCAGAAUUGAUGACUUGUUCGACCAACUUCAGGGUGCCAGUUAUUUCUCUAAGAUAGACCUCAGAUACGGCUAUCAUCAGCUUAGAGUCAGAGAAUGUGACAUUUCGAAGACAACUUUUGGAACUUGGUAUGGUCACUUUGAAUUCCUAGUUAUGUUUUUUGGACUAACGAAUACCCCUACAACUUUCAAGGACUUGAUGAACAGGGUGUUCAAGUAUUACUUGGUCAUGUUCAUCAUAAUCUUCAUUGAUGAUAUCCUUGUCUAUUUUUGUAGUGAGAAUGAUCAUGCAAACCAUCUGAGAAUUAUGUUGUAGACCCUUAGAGCUCAUCUGUUGUUCACCAAGUUCUGUAAUUGCAAAUUUUGGCUAAGAUCAGUAGCUUUUCUUGGCCAUAUUAUUUUUGGCGAUAGAAUUAGAGUUGACUCUCAAAAGAUUGAAGAAGCGAGAAAAUGGCCUAGACUUAUUUCUCCAUCAAAUAUUCAGAGUUUCUUAGGUUUGGAUGGCUAUUAAAGACGGUUUAUUGAAGGGUUUUCUUCUAUUGUAUCCCCCAUGUCAUGAUUGACUCAGAUAAAGUCAAAUUUUAGUGGUCAGAUUCUUGUGAGAAGAGUUUUCAAGAGUUGAAGACUCGACUCACUUCUGCCCCAAUCUUAACUUUGCUAGAUGGUACGGAUAGGUUUGUAGUUUAUUGUGAUACUUUCAGAAUUGGUCUUGGUUGUGUUUUGAUGAAGAGAGGCAAGUUCAUAGUCAAAUUAUGCUAGACUCUAUCUCAGUGGGUUAAUUAAGUUGUAUAAAAUUCCAUUGUCCAUAUUUUCAGAUAGAGGUACUCAGUUAUCUCUCACUAUUGGAAGGCUUUUUUAGAAGGGUCUUAGUACCCAAGUUCAUCUCAACACAAUAUUCCAUCCUUUGACAGAUGGUCGGGCAGAGAGGACCAUUCAGACCUUAGAAGACAUUUUGAUGGUAUGUGUUGUUGACUUUAAAGGUAGUUGGGAUGACCACUUACCUAUGAUUGAGUUUGCUUACAACAAUAAUUAUUACUCUAGUAUUCAAAUGGCUUCGUUUGAGGCUCUCUAUGGUAGGUGUAAUGCCCCGAGAGUAUACCCUGGAUGCCACACGGUGCCUACAACCUCGAAGGCCCACAAGAUAACCUAUGUUGGUACCUACUAUGAGAACUGAAUAAAAUAAUAGAGAACAUAUGCGGAAUUCAAAUGAAAACUCCAUAAGGUUUUAUAUACAAAAACAAAACUAUAUUGAAAUACUGAAAAUGCUUGUCUGAAAAUAAUACUGUAGGACUGUCAAUAAUAAUUGAUAAUUGAAUAACUGAAUGAAAGUGACCGAAAGCCUCUAACUGACUGGCUGUGGAGUUAAUAGGACAAGUCCCCAACUAACUCCAACUAACUAUUGAACUGAACUGAAAUAGAUAUAAAUGAUCCUCUAAACAUGAGGACUCACCAUUGCUACUGCUACGGAUGUGCUGGGGAGGUCUAGAUGUAAUCAGAAACCUGAGCGUUUGAACCUAUGAUAUGAGACAUCAUAGCGCAAGAAACGAGUACGCGAACAAUACUUUGAAUUUGUUGGUAUGAUAAAUGAGGUUAGGCUAACAUGAAUGGCUCAUUGCUCUUUUAACUUUUUGAGUUCUGUUGGAGCCAUUCUGUAUGAUGGAAUAGAGAUAGGCUAGGUAUUCAGAAGAAGGUCUAUUUCAAAUUUAAUUUUCCUUCCGGGAGAAACUCCAGAAAGAUCUUCGGGAAACAUGUCUGGGAAUUCCCUCUCUAUUAAAAUUGACUCUAGACUAGGAGUCUUAGAAUUGGAGUCUUAACUCGAAUAAGAUAGUAGACACACCUCUUGGAUAUCAUCUUCCUAGGUAUAAGGUACGAAAUAAGCUGACCCCUAAAUGCUGAAUUACUUCAUUUUCAUUCAAGGACUGGUUCAUUCAAAAACUAAAAUGAACAACUCUAUUUCUAUAAUUAACUGAGGCAUAGCAUGAGUAGAGCCAAUCCAUUCUGAGAAUGACAUCAAAAUCAAUCAUCUCUAACUCAACUAGAUCAACUGAAGUGACUCUCUGGGAUAUUGUGACCAGACAGUACUUGUAUACCUAUUUGGAUACAAUAGAAACACCUACUGGAGUGGACACUGAGAAGGGUUCUGCUAAAGUCUUAGGACUGAUACCGAAAUUAAUAUCUAUGUAGGGAGUUACAAAAGAAAGAGAAGCUCCAGGGUCUAAUAAAGCAUAAACAUGUAAAUAAAAGACCUAUAACGUACCAGUAACCACAUCAGGAGAACUUUCCUGAUCUUGUCGGGACUGAAGUGCAUAAAGUCUGUUUGGGCGUUGCACAUUGGUGGCACUGAAAGCAGCACCCUGCAGGGUCGGGUGAUCAGAUAGAACUGGGGGACGACUGGACUGACCCUACUGACCACUCUAUGGGCAGUCCCUGACCCUGUGGCCUGGCUUUCCAUACAUACCCAAAGCAUACAUCACUACCAUCUUUAUACACACCUUGAUGGUUUCUACCACAUUUCUGAUAAAGGGGAUUUGUGCGACCACUGUUCAUACUUACCUGGGGUUUAGGGCCUGGCGCCUUAUCUCUAUUAUCAUUUCUAAGCUUCAGAGAUGGCACACUAGCUGAAGAUAGAGCUGAGGCUGAAGUUUUUUUGCGGAAUUGAGGACGGUUACACUUCUGCUCUCUCUCUCUUUCCUUAUACUUCUGCUCCUCAAUCUGUUAUGCAUGAACCAUCAACCUGGACAAGUCCAUCUCCUUAAUCAACAUCGUGGUCCUACACUUUUUGACCACGUUAUCAACUACACCAAAGACAAACUUACUCAUCUUAGACCUGUCACCAGAUACAAUAUUAGGAGCAUACCUGGCUAACCGAGUGAAAUAAAAAGAAUACUCUUUCACACUCAUGUUUCCCUUUUUCAGAUUAAUAAAUUCCUACACCUUAGAUUCCCUUAACUCCAAAGGAAAGAACCUAUCUAGAAAAUUAGUAACAAACUCCUCCCACUCAACUGGUCCUGUAUCCGCCCAUCUAUCUCCCCUCCACUACUUAUACCAAGUAUGAGCAAUAUCUUGUAACUAGUAAGCACCCGACUCUGCACUCUCACUAGAAGUCAUACCCAUAAAAUCAAUUACCUUCUAAACCAUGUCAUGGAACUCUUGUGGAUCCUUAUCAGACUUAGAUCCCAAAAAUAGAUAAGGGUUUAUUUAGGGGAAAUCCUAAAAUUUAGAUGUGAUAGUAUUAGCCACUGGAACGACAGUCAGAUAAUUAUUCUGGGCUUCUACUGAGUGAGCUAAGGUAGUGAAUGUCGCUUGAAUUUGGCAUGAGAGAGAUAGACUCGUUCAGGGGAUCUUCCUGAAUAGGUAAAGGUGCGGGCUGUUUUCUAUUUCUCCUUUCAUUAGACUUUCUGGAAGGCAUAUUCUGUAAAUGAAAAGGAAAUUAGAUCAUAAAGGGAGUUUAAAUUGAGCUCAUGCUCAAUCGCAUGAUAUGAACACCAAAAGAAAGGAAACUUUUCCUAAAACGUCUUGUAGCUUUUUGCACAUAAGUGUGGCACGCUUCACACCCAUGAACAAGACUCUACUCAAUACGAAUUUCAGACUCUCUAGAACACUUUAAAACCUUAGGCUCUGAUACUAAGUUUGUAACGCCCAGAGAGUACACCCUAGACGCCACACGAUGCUUACAGCCCUGAAGGACCACAAGCUAACCUAUACUGGUACCUGCUGUGAGCACUGAAUAAAAUAAUAGAGAACAUGUGAGAAAUUCAACUAAAAGUGCCAUAAGGUUUUAUAUACAAAAACAAAACUAAAUCAAAAUGCUGAAAACUUCUGUCUGAAAACAAUACUAUAAAACUGUCAAUAACAACUGAUAGCUGAAUAAAUGACUGAAAGUGUCCAAAAACCUCUAAAUAAAUGGCUGUGGAGUUGAUGGGACAAGUCCUAACUAACUCCGACUAACUGCUGAACUGAACUGAACUGAAAUAAACAUAAAUGGUCCUCAGAACAUAAGAAAUCACCACUGCUACUACUGCGAAUGCACGGGGGAGGUCUAAAUAUUGUUAGGAACCUGAGCGUUUGAACCUAUGAUAUGAGACAUCAUAGCACAAAAAAUGAGUAUACAGUCAAUGCUUUGAAUGUACUGGUAUGCUAAAUUAGGUUAGGCUGACGUGCAUGGUUCAUAUGCAUGAAUGAUACUGAUUGAACACGUAGCAUAAGAUAAAUAAUGUAUAACAUGCGAGAAAUACUAUAAAAUUUGAGAAUGCAUGACCAAGCAUAUGACAUGAUACUGAAGUAGUCUAUAAACUAAAAUACUAAAAUACUAAUGCUGAACAACUAAUAACUGUAUGCCAUGGUCAAGCAAGUCUGAAAACUGAACUCUGAACUGAACACUAUACUGAGACUGUAGAAGCUAUCAUCUAAUUGAUAUGCCCCAAUAAGGUAAAUUGGGGUCCAACCUAUAACCCCAGUUGGAAGGGUGUCAGUACCAUACCAUGGGUACUAAUAUUGGCUGUUUGGAUCCACUGUAAUGGUGUCCGUAGGAUAAAGAGUUACCCUCUACUAGCAGGUGCGCUAGUGAGUAUGUGUCAACCCUUAACUGGUAGGUUAACAUCUCUAACCUACACCGAUUAUGUAGUUCUAGAAUGCGGGGACUACUAAUAAAGGUCACACCCUCAACUAGCAGGUGAGCCCCCAUCCCUGGGUUUGCUCGGUGCUGAAUCCUAGUCUCAACUGAACUGACUUAGACUACUGAACUAGAACCGAUCUAACUUGACUAAUAGAACAACUGGCUAAAUUGAUAAUACUUAUUCAUUCUCUGAAAACUAUUCUAAAAGUAUUAAGACUAAGUAAACAGCUAAAUUUUGGGUAUGAACAACCCCUAGGACUCGAUAAUAUCUAGAGUGGAAGCAUACCAAAGUUUCAAAUGCAUAAUAAAUAGUCAUUGUUCGAAAUUCAUCUCUUACGUAUUUCAUCAAACACUUGCAAGUCAUGGGUUAAACAUGGGAGUACUUUUAAACAUGGGGUAAUAUUAUGAUUUCAAUACUAAAAUCACAAAUUAAGGUAAUGACCAACAAAUACACAUUAUUCAACAUGUAGGGUUUAACUUCAACAACAAUAACCUUAUCAACAUGAUUCGUACACACAUACAAUGAAUUUUCAUAAAGGGCCAUAAAUAUAUCUCAUAAUAUCAUGUAAAAAUCAUAGAUUUAAAUUUCUUUUUAAACUUAAAAGUGGGUACUUGGACUCCAUGGGUGAAAGAAACCCAUGAAUGAACAUCUAACAUACCUGGGUUGAAGAAUUCAUAAAGGUUCUUGGAGGAUAUCUUGAGAAUUGAACUUGAAUGUUGAAGGGGCUACGGUAUGUUCUUGAUAGAGAAUUUGUUUCUUGGGGAGAAAUUAUGGUUAAUGAGGUAUAUCAUGCUUCUUUGGGGCUUUAAUUCCAUGUUUUGGAUAAAUUUGGGUGAUAGAAAAAGACCAAACUACCCCUUGGGGAUUUAAUACCGUAACUGGAAUACGGAUUAGAGCUUCAUCGUGAUGUGAUGACAGUGUCACUGCUAUACCCGCCGCGAUGCUGUACAAUCAUGGUGGGUUACUAGAAUUGAAAAUUGCAGAUUUUACCUCCACCGCGAUACGGUAAAGGUUCCACCAUGAUGCGGUAAAGGUUCCACCGCUAUUUCCACUGUGACGCGGUGGAAUCGCGGUGGCUUACUGGAAUAAAAAUCCAUUGCUUUCCAAAACUCGUCUAAAAAUUUCAAAACUUACUUGAGAUAUGCUACCUUCACCCUCUGAACAUGAAUCAACUUAAAACCCAUCGUCUCGGAGCCCGGAAGAUCAACUUAAAAUCCCCAAAGUUAUAGGGAGUCAAAAGUGACUACGUCCCUCAACACUUAGUCUUAUUUUAAGGUUCUAAGUGUCUUAAGCAAGUACUAAGGGCUGAGAUGGACUUAGAAACGUAUGGGGUACUACAGUAAGAUAUGUAGAUCUCCUAUUAGUUGGUUUGAAUUAGGUAAGGCUGCAGUGAUAGAGCUAGAUUCAGUGUUUGAGGCGAUAAAGAAGGUUCAGUUGAUUGGGGAGAGGCUGAAUAUGACCCAAAACUAUCAAAAAUCUUAUGCAGAUGUAAGAAAAAGAGAUCUUGAGUUUGAUGUUUGUGAUUUGGUCUAUUUGAAAAUUUCGCCUAUAAAAGGAGUGAAGAGAUUUUGCAAGAAGGGGAAGCUCAGUCCUCAAUAUGUUGGCCCUUAUAGAGUCUUGAACCAUUUUGGAAAGGUGGCUUACGAUCUUGAGUUGCCUGCAAAUUUAGCAUCCGUACAUCCAGUGUUCCAUGCUCUUUGUUAAAGAAGUGUAUUUGUGAUUCGGCUAUAGUUGUUCCUUUAAAAGAUAUGGGCGUUAAGGAUAACCUUUCCUAUGAGGAAGUCCCAGUUGAAAUACUUGAUCGUCAUAUUCGUAGGCUAAGGAAUAAAGAAGUCCCCUUCGUUAAGGUCCUUUGGUGGAAUUAGUUUGUUGAGGGAGCUACUUAGGAAGCAGAAAUAAAUAUGCGAACCAAGUACCCUCAUCUUUUCUCCGUAAACUCAGAUGCAGUUUGAGGUAAUGAUUUUUCCUUAGAUUGACUUUUUCUAUUCUCAGUUUCAGCUAUGUAACCAUUCCUAUGUCAUUAUAUGCAUUCACGAAAUUAGUUUAAUUCAAGUAUUAUGUUUAAGACUCAGUUGUGUAAUCAUGUUCCAAGUCAUGCAUGUUCAGUAUGUGAUCUCAUUUACCUUAGUGCAGUACUCUCAGUUUAACUAGUCUUAUUCAAGGAUGAAUGUUCCUAAGAGGGAGAUAUUGUAAUACCCCGUACUAAUCUUAGCUCGAUUCAGUUUUUAGUUGCAUGCAUUAGGGGCUUAAGGAUUGAAAUUUUCACUAAGUAUUGGGAACUUAGUAAUUUUUAAGACCCCUCUAACUUUGAGGGUUUUUAUUUUGGUCUUCCCAACCCUAAGAUGUUUUUUGAGUUGAUUCAUGUUCAAGGAUGUAAAAGUUUGUCUCAGGGGAGUUUUGAAUUUUUCGAACAAGGUUUGGGUUAUGUUUGGAUCACAAAACCAAUAGGUCACUGCGAUAAGCCCGCGACAUGGUAUUAGUACCGAUGUCCUACAGACUGUGUCACAGUGAGGGAAAUCAAUGAUUGCGGUAAGACCACAUCACGGUGAGCCUAUUGCGUCCAGUUUUGAAUUUAAAUGAUUGAGGGGCAAUUGGGUCUUUUCCUCCUUAACCCAAUCGUUUAUAACACAACUUGGGGAAUUAUUUACCUUUCUUCUCCAAAUUCCUCUCAAGAAAACCCUCCCCUUUUCAAAAGAACAAAAAAGUGAGUUCCUUUUCUUAAGAAAUCAAGAAUUCAAGUUCCCCAAGUUCAAGAACCUCCAAGAAAGCAUCAAGAUUAAUGUUUUUCUUUCAAGUUAAGAAGCUUAAGGUAUGUGGGGUGUUCAUCCAUCGGUCUCUUUCACCCAUGGAGCCCAAAACCCUCUUUUAAAUUAAAGAAUGUAUUUUUCAAUUAUUUUGGUAUUUUACAUUUUCAAGAUGAGUUUAAUUCAUGUUUUUCUUGGUAAUUUAAUUCAAUUCAGCCCAUGUAUGAUCCCACAAAAUAAUUUAUUUACUCAUGCUUUAAAUCUCAGUUUCCCAUGUCUUAUUCAAGUGAAUUUCAUGUUGUUGAUUUCUCAUGUUUAGAAUAUCCUCAUGUUCAAGUCCAUGCUUUCCACAUGUUUGGUGAAAUGUUUAUGUCUUGGGUUUGAACCAUGAUUCCAUACUAUAAUUUUAAUCUUAAAUGUCAUAUUUCAUGGUCAUUCAGUGCUGGCGGGUUAUGAACACCCGAUACCUGCGUGUUUUACAUGAUUUCAGAUUUUCAAGUAAUGAUUCAGUUAAACCAUGAAUAUUUUUAUUUAUGCAGUUUAUAUGAUCAUGAUGAGCACUAUAAAAAAUAAUUUUUAGUUAACCUUAGUUCAGUUUAGUACUAGUAUUAGUUCAGUUGGGAGUAGGAUUUAGCACUGAGCAAACUCAGGGAUGGGGGCUCACCUACCAGUAGAGGGUGUGACCCUUAGUAGAAAUCCUUGAGUUAUAGAACUAUGUAGCCAGUGUAGGUUUGAGAUAUCUACCUGUCAGUUGAGGAUUGACACAUAUCUCAUGAGAGCACCUGCUAGUAGAGGGUGACUCCUUAGUAUUUUGGGACACCAGUUUAGUGGAUCCACACAGCCAGUGUUAGUACCUGUGGCACGGUACUGACACCUUUCUAACUGGAGUUAUAGGUUAGACCCCAAUUAGCUCAGAUUGGGGAAUCUCAGUUACAUGAUACUUCCCAUAAUUUUAGUCCAGUUAUUUAGACUAAGUACAGUUCAGUAUUACAUGAUCAGUAUUCAGACAUCAGUUAAUCAGUAUAUAGACAUCAGUUAAUCAGUAUACAAAUACCAGUUAAUCAGUAUGUCUUAGCUGAUAUUUACUUGACCAAAGCAUACAAAUUUUCAGUUAUUCAGUUAUUUAUAGAUUUUCUCCGAAGCAUGCUUAGUCUUGCAUUCUUAGAUUUUACAUGUCCAUGCAUUUAUGCUCAGUUAUCUCAUGUAUUUCAGUCAGUCCUUACCUCACGUACCAGUACAUUCAAAGUACUGAUUGCAAUACUUUUCUUUGCGCUAUGUUGUCUUAUAAUAUAGGUACGGACAUUUAGUUUUCCGACCACUCUUAGACAACUUAGCGUAUUCAGAAACAUUAGUGGUGUAAUACCCCAUACUUUUUCCUAGCUUGAAAUCAUCUCAAGAAUGUUAGAAGCUUACUUUGAAAGAUGAAUCCACUUUUGUACAUGUGGUAUUUUCAAGAUUUUCACUUGUUGUCAUGUGGUAAAUUCAAUAAGAUUUCCAUCGAUAUAAAAUUUGCCUAAAUCCGAUAACCUGGUAAGAAGUUAUGACUAUUUCAAGUUACCGUCGUAAAACAACACCAUAUUAGUCAGUGGCGCACCGCGCCAUAAGCUAAAAUGACAAUUGUCCUUUUCCAGUGUCUCAGUGCGAUUUCCUCCACAUUGCACCAAAGUUCCAGGUUGCAAAAGAAGGGGCAAUACGAUGGCUCUGCAUCACGCCAUUCCUAAAUUACCCAACUGUUAAAAUCUAGUAACACGACGCGAUAGUGCCGUGUCGCGCCAAGGGUCCGAUUUGAGAAAUUUUCACUGAAAUUAAAUGAUGCAUCCAGGGUUAAAAAGGUCAACUUUUCACCCCUAUUUAAGCCCUUUAACACAUGAUUCAGCCACUUUUCACCCAAAAUAUACUAGUUUCUCUCAAGAACAAGCUAGGAUUUCCAUAGAAGAUUCUAUUUCAAGAAAGUUUCACCGUCAAUCUUCAUGAAAUCACGAACUAAGGUAUGUGUUGUGUUCAUUCAUGGAUUUCUUCUACCCAUGAAGCUCAAGAACAUUUUUUAUCUAUAAAUCAUGGUAUUUAUAUUGUGGGUUAUUUAUAAUCAUGUUGUUGACGUUGAUUGAUUUCAAAGUUGGAAUCUUUGUGCGUUUAUCAUGAUAUUAUGUUACCAUGCAAGAUAAAAUCUAUGAAUUUAGUUGCUUAUGAUGUGUAAUUUGAUGAAUUCACUUAUGCCCUAAGUUGUGCAUGCAAGGUGGUUGAUAAAAUGCUUGAAAAAGUAGAAAUUAUUCUUUAUAGCUCAAGACAUAAGCUAAAUGUGACAUGCUUGUCAUCCUCCUAUGUUUAAAUGGUUUCCAUGCUAUCAUUGUGAAAUGUGUAUGUUGUCGGAAUGGCCAUGAUAUUAGAAUAUGAGAUUAUAAUAUGAUUAUCAGCAUUCUUGUCCAUGUUAGAUAGUAUGAUAACCUUGUAAUUUAUGAAAUCCACAACUUAUUAAAUUAUGUAUUGUUGAUGUGGGUCUUGUACUUGAUAAAGUCAUGCUUCGUCAGUUCCCUUCUAUCGAGUCCUGGGGGUACUUGUACCCAAAACAUUAGCUGUGUGCCUAGAGCCAUGUCAUGUUUUCACGAUACUCUCAGUCAAGCUAUGAUCCUUAGAAUUCAGAUAGUCUUAUGACUCAGGAAAUCUUCAUGAUCUCAUGAACUCAGUCAGUUGUCAGAUAUCAGUAGUAUUCCAUCAGUCAACGGAAUUAAGUAACUCAGUCCAUGUUUAGUUAGUAAAUUAUGUUCAGUGUUUAUUCAGAUGGGAGUAGAAAUUAGCACCGAGCCAACCCAAGGAUGGGAACUCACAUGUUAUAUGAGGCUGUGAUUCUUAGAAGCAAUCUUUCCAUUCCAGAACUAUGUAGCCAGCAUAGGUUGAGACAUCAUAGCCUGCUAUAUGAGGGUAAAUGAGGUGCCUUAGCCUGCUAUAUGAGGGUUCCCACCGUUCUCACUAGAGUUACCUGUUAUAUUAGGGCCACUCACAUGUUAUCCUUACCAGUGGCGCGGUAUUGACACCCUUCUAAUCAGGGCAUAGAUUGGACCCCAAUUCAAAUCUAAUGCAUCAUUUAGGGCAUGUCGAUUAGAUAACUACUUCUCACAGUCUCAACAUUAUUCUCAGUAAAAGAACUCAGAUGGUUCUUCAGAAUUCAGGAUUGUCAGAUAUAGUACGAAACUCAGCUAGUUCUAUCAGAUUCAGGACUAUCAGCUACAGUCACUCAUGUUAUCAGUUAUUAGAAUUCAGUCAUCAGUUAUGUUAGUCAUCAACAUACUCAUGUUAUCAUGAUUUCAGAUAUAGUUACUAUGUAUGCAUGCAUGUAUUCUCACAUUCAUAUUAGUCAGUUAGCCAGUAUUGUUCAUGCAUAUGAACCCAUGCAUUCAGCCUACCUCACAUGUAUACCAGUACAUUCAAAGUACUGACGCAUUUGUGCUAUUGUGUCUUAUACCAUAGGAUCAGAGACACGAGCUCCAGAGCAUCAGUAGAUUCCAGAUAUCAGCAGUCAGAGUUAGCAGUGAGUCCUCAUCCUUCGAGGUCAUGAUUAUUUCCCUAUUAUCUCAUUAAUUAGUUUAUUAGUUGGAGUUAGUUGGGGACAUGUUCUAUUAACUCCUUACUCAGACAGUUCAGUCAGUUAGAGGCUUUCCAAACUAUUAUGUUCAGACAGUUAUUUCAGUGUUUUGGGGUAUUUCAUACCUCAUUUAGAUGUUAUGUUUUACUUUAGUUAUUUGAACCUUAUGGCCUUUCAGUUCAUGUUUUCAUAUUAUUCAGUAUAUUAUGUAGUAUACAGGUACAAAUAUCAGUCAUGGGUUAGCUUGUGGUCCUUCAGGGUCAUGAGCACUGUGUAGCAUUUUGGGUACCAGAUUCGGGGCGUUACAAACUUGGUAUCAGAGCCAGGUUCAAUAGAGUCCAAGGAAGUCUGAAAGCCGCAUCUAUUAGAGUCUUGUACAUGGGUGUAUUGCAUGCCACAUUUAUGUGCAGGAGGCUAUAAGAUGUUUUAGGAAUAGUUUCCCUUCUUUCAAUAUUCGUGUCGUGCCAGUGAGCAUAAUCUCAAUCUAAUCUCUCAGUCUAAUCUGUUUCUCCUCCUUAUUUCAGAACAUGCCUCCCAAGAGAAGAACCUAGACUGUCCAAGAAGAUCCUUUGGACGAACAUGUUUCUCAUGUGGAGUUCAGGGCCGCAUUCAUUUCUUUUGCUCAGUCAGUUGCUGCUCAGAAUGAAUGACCAGCUGUCGUUUCGGCCAACCCAGCGGCUAAUUCAGUUGCAGCCAGGAUUUGAGACUUCACCCGAAUGAAUCUUCCAUCCUUUCUUGGGUCUAAGACAAACGAAGACCCUCAGGAAUUCCUAGAUCAGGUGCAGAAGGUUACAAACAUAAUGGGGGUUAUGUCUAGUGAGAGUGCUGAGCUAGCUGCAUAUCAAUUGCAGGAUGUGUCUCAUACUUGGUUCAAGAAGUGGAAGUUAGAGAGGGCAGACGAUGCAAGGUCAGUUGAGUGGGAGGAGUUUGCUUCAGCAUUCCUAGAUAGAUUUUUUCCCCUAAAGCUUAGAGAAACUAAGGUGCUAGAAUUUAUCAAGCUCAGGCAGGGCAAUAUGACAGUAAAAGAGUAUUAUAUUAAGUUUACUCAAUUAGCCAGAUAUGCCCCUCAUGUGGUUGCAGAUAGCAGGGAAAGGAUGAGUCAGUUCAUUUUAGGGGUGAAUGAUAGCGUGGUUAAUGAGUGCAGAUCUGCUAUGCUAAAUAGUGACAUGACUUUAGCCAGGCUCAUGACUCAUGCUCAGCAGAUAGAGGAGCAGAGUAUUAAGAUGAGGGAGAAGAAGAAUAAGAGAGCUAAGACAGGUAGUUUCAACUUUGCUUAGCCUAAGUCAGAAGGAGGAAUCCGUUUUUAGUUUCAUCCUAAGUCAUCAGUUCCAGCUCCUUCUUCAGCCAGUGCUCCAGUUCCUAAGUUUAGAGAGGGUAACAAAGAUAGAGCGCUAGGCUCUAAGUCCCAGGGCAGUGUUAGCAGUGCCCAUACCUAUCCUCUUUUCCAUACAUAUGGCAAGCACCAUCAGGGUAUUUGCAGAGCUGCCAGUGGUAUUUGUUUCAGAUGUGGAAAGCCAGGCCACAAAGACAGAGACUGUCCUCAGCCAGGUCCUUAGGGUCAACAGAAUCGCUCCUCAGCUCAGUCCGAUCACCCAAAUCAGCAGGGUGCCACCUCCAAUGCUACUAGUGAGCAACACCUAAAUCGUCUCUAUGCUCUUCAGUCCUGUCAAGAUCAAGAAAAUUCUCCUGAUGUGGUUACCGGUACAUUACGAAUCUUUCAUGUGCAUGUUUAGGCUUUGCUAGAUCCAUGAGCUUCUUUGUCUUUUGUCACUCCUUAUAUAGCAGUCGAUUCCGGAGUCAGUCCCAAAAUUCUAGCAGAUCCCUUUUCACUCUCUACCCCAAUAGGUAAAACCAUCAUAGCCCGGCGGGUAUACAAGAACUGCCCGAUUAUGAUAUCUCAAAAAGUCACCUCAGCAGACUUAGUCAAAUUAGAGGUGACUGAUUUUGAUGUCAUUCUCGACAUGGAUUGGCUUCAUUCCUACUAUGCCAUAGUCGACUGCAGAAAUAGAAUAGACCAGUUUUAAUUUUUGAAUGAACCCAUCCUAGAGUGGAAGGGUAGUGUAUCCGCUUUCAGAGGUCAGCUUGUUUCCUACCUUCAGGCAUGAAAAGUGAUAUCUAAAGGAUGUGUUUAUCAUUUUUUUCGAGUUAAGAACACUAGUUCUGAAACUCCCAGUCUUGAAUCAGUCCCAGUAGUGAAUAAAUAUUCAGAUGUCUUUCCCAAAUAUCUUCCAGGAAUUCCUCCUAAAAGGAAAAUAGACUUCGGUAUUGAUCAUCUUCUAGAUACUUAGCCUAUCUCUAUUUUGCCAUACAGAAUGGCACCAGUAGAACUCAAAGAACUGAAAAAAUAGUUGAAGGAUCUCUUAGAUAAGGGAUUCAUCAGACCAAGCAUUUCCCCAUGGGGCGCUCCAGUAUUAUUCGUGCACAAGAAAGACGGUUCUCUCAGAAUCUGUAUAGACUACCAUCAACUCAAUAAGGUCACAAUCAAGAACAAGUAUCCUUUUCCCAAAAUCAAUGACUGUUUGACCAACUUUAGUGUGCCAGUUAUUUCUCUAAGAUAGAUCUCAGAUCCGGCUAUCAUCAGCUCAGAUAUUUCUCUAAGUCAUGUCAUUUGGUCUUACCAAUGCCCCAGCUGUUUUCAUGGACUUGAUGAACUGUGUGUUUAAGCAGUACUUGGACAUGUUCGACAUAGUCUUCAUAGAUAAUAUUCUGGUCUAUUCCCACAGUGAUCGCGAUCAUACAGACCAUCUUGGGACAGUACUUUAGACUCUCAAAGAUCAUCAACUAUUUGCCAAAUUCAGUAAGUAUGACUUUUGGCUAAGGUCAGUAGCAUUCCUUAGUCACAUCAUUUUCGGUGAUGGCAUUAGGUAGAUCUUCAAAAGACUGAAGCAGUAAAAAACUGGCUUCGCCCUGUCUUUCCAUCAGAUAUUAGGAGUUUCUUGGGUUUGGCUAGCUAUUACAGACGGUUUGUUGAGGGAUUUUCUUUUAUUGCAUCCCUAUGUCCAGAUUGACUCAGAAGAAAAUCAAGUUUCAGUGGUCAGAUCCUUGUGAGAAGAGUUUUUAGGAGUUGAAAACUCGACUCUCCUCAGCUCUAGUUUUAGCUCUUCCAGAUUGUCUAGAUGGGUUCGUCGUGUAUUGGGAUGCAACUAGAGUAGGUUUGGGUUGUGUCCUCAUGCAGCAUGGUAAGGUCAUAGCCUAUGGCUCCAAACAGCUUAAAACCCACGAGAAGAAUUAUCCUACUCAUUAUCUUGAGGUAGCCGUUGUAGUCUUUGCCUUGAAGAUUUGGAGGCAUCAUCUUUAUGGAGUUCAUGUAGAUGUCUUCACAGAUCAUAAGAGUCUUCAGUAUGUUUUUUCUCAUAAAGAUAUCAAUCUUCAUCAGAGAAGGUGGUUAGAGCUCUUGAAAAAUUAUGACAUGAGUGUCCUCUAUCAUCCGUGCAAGGAUAAUAUAAUGGCCGACGGUCUCAGUAGACUAUCUAUGGGUAGUGUUGCUCAUGUGGAUGACAGUAAGAAGAAGUUAGCUCAGGAAGUACAUCAACUUUCCAGACUAGGCGUUUGCUUAGUCGAUACAGAUGAGGGUGAUAUAUGGGUUCAGAGUAGUUCAGAAUCAUCUCUAGUUUCCGAGGUGAAAGAAAAGCAAGAUAGAGAUCCCAGCCUUGUCAAGUUAAAAGAGUUAGUUCAAGAUCAGAAAGUAGAGGUUUUCUCCCAAGGGGGAGAUAGUGUUUUCCGUUGUCAAGGUCAUCUCUGUGUUCCAGGUGUAGAUGAAUUAAGGCAGGGAAUUCUUGAAAUAGCGCAUGGUAAGCGCUACUCUAUUUAUCCAGGGGCCACAAAGAUGUACCGCGACUUGUGGGAAGUCUAUUGGUGGAGUAGGAUAAAGAGAGAUAUUGCAGAGUUUAUGGCUAAGUGAUCUACACGUCAGUAGCUUAAAAUAGAGCAUUAGAAGCCUAGUGGUCUUAUGCAGGAUUUGAUUAUUCCUACUUAGAAGUGGGAAGAAAUGAAAAUGAACUUCGUGAUGGGUUUGCCUCGAACUCAUCAUAAGCAUGAUUCAGUCUGGGUCAUUAUAGACAGAAUGACCAAAUCAGCCCAUUUCCUUCCAAUCCAUACCUUUUAUUCAACCGAGGAUUACGCCAAACUCUACAUCAAGGAGUUGGUCAAAUUGUACGAUGUUUCGCUAUCAAUUAUCUCAGAUAGAGGUACCCAGUUCACCUCUUAUUUCCGGAAAGCGUUCUAAAAGGGUCUUGGUACCCAAGUUUAUCUCAGUACAGCCUUCUAUCCUCGGACAGAUGGUCAAGCAGAAAGGACCAUUCAGACUCUAGAAGAUAUGCUAAGGGCGUGUGCAAUUGAUUUCAAGGGUAGUUGGGAUGACCAUUUGCCUUUGAUUGAGUUUGCAUACAACAACAGCUAUUAUUCCAGUAUUCACAUGGCUCCAUUCGAAUCUCUCUAUGGUAGGAUAUGUAGAUCUCUGAUUGGUUGGUUCGAAGUUAGUGAGGCCUCAGUUGUAGAGCCUGACUUGGUAUUCGAUGCCUUAGAAAAAGUACAGUUGAUUAGAGAAAGAUUCUGGGUUGCUCAGAGCUGACAGAGGUCUUAUGCAUAUGUUCAUAGAAAAGAUCUCGAGUUCGAGAUUGGUGACUAUGUCUACCUAAAGAUCUCUCCUAUGAAGGGAGUAAAGCGGUUUGGCAAGAAAGGGAAACUCAGUCCUCGAUAUAUCGGUCCCUUUAAGAUUCUCAGUCGAUUCGGCAAGGUAGCUUAUGAGCUUGAAUUGCCUUCAGAUCUAGCCUCAGUUCAUCCAGUCUUCCAUGUUUCCUUGCUCAUGAAGUGUAUAGGUGACCCAUCAGUUGUAGUCCCUAUUCAGAGCAUCGAUGUUCAGAACAACCUCUCUUAUGAAGAUAUUCCAAUCAAAAUCCUAGACUAUUAGACUCGUAUAUUGAGGAACAAAGAAGUCCCUCUAGUUAAAUUUCUUUCGUGAAAUUAGUCCGUCGAGGGAGCUACUUGGGAAGCAGAAGCAGAUAUGCAUACCAAGUAUCCUCACCUCUUCUUCGCCAACUCAGAUUAAGCUCAAUGUAACAGUUCUCCUUAAGCUUACUCAGUUUCAUGUUCAGUGUUCAUCACAGACUUGGUAUCAAGUACCAUUGCAUAUUCAGUCAUGAAUUCAUGUAUCGGUUCAGUUAUAUAAUUAUGCAUCAGAUAUGUAUUCUCGUUAGGAGAAACUUAGUUCCUCAGAACGCCUAGUCAUGCAUUCAUGAAUCAGUUACACAUGCAUCAGAUAUGCAUGUUCAAUAUGAUAUAUUCAGUUAUCAGUCAUGUCAGUUAUGAGAUCUUGUUCCAAUUAUUCAUGUUCAGUAUAUAUGUUGGUUAUAUUCUAACCUCACUCUCAGUCUCAUUUGAGGAUGAAUUUUCUUAAGAGGGAGAUAUUGUAAUACCCCGUACUUUUUUCUAGCUUGAAAUCGUCUCAAGAAUGUUAGAAAUUUACUUUGAAAGAUGAAUCCACUUCUGUACAUGUAGUAUUUUCAAGAUUUUCACUUUUUGUCAUAUAGGAAAUUCAAUAAGCUUUCCAUUGAUAUAAUAUUUGUCUAAAUCCAAUAACCAGGUAAGAAGUUAUGACUAUUUCAAGUUUCCAUCAUAAAACAAUGCCAUAUUGGUCAGUAGCACGCCGCGCCAUAAGCUAAAAUGGCAAUUGUCGUUUUCCAAUGUCUCAGCAUGAUUUCCUCUGCAUCGCACCAAUGUUCCAAGUCAGAAAACAAGGGGCAAUACGAUGGCUCCGCGUCGCGCCAUCCCUCAAAUUUUCAAUUGUCAAAGUCCAGUGACACGGCGCAAUAGCACUGCAUUCAGGAAAUUUUCACUGAAAUUAAAUGACGCAUCCAAGGUUAAAAUGGUCAACUUUCCACCCCUAUUUAAGCCUUUUAACACGUGAUUCAACCAUUUUUCACCCAAAAUAUACUAGUUUCUCUCAAGAACAAGAUAGGGUUUUCAUCGAAGAUCCAAUUUCAAGAAAGUUUCACCGUCAAUCUUUACCAAAUCACGAACUAAGGUAUGGGUUGUGUUCAUUCAUGGAUUUCUUCCAUCCAUGAAGCUCAAGAACCUUGUUUUAUCUAUAAAUCAUGGUAUUUAUGUUGUGGGUUAUUUAUAAUCAUGUUGUUGACGUUGAUUGAUUUCAAAGUUGGAAUCUUUGUGUGUUUAUCAUGAUAUUAUGUUACCAUGCAAGAUAAAAUCUAUGAAUUUAGUUGCUUAUGAUGUGUAAUUUGAUGAAUUUACUUAUUUCCUAAGUUGUGCAUGCAAGGUGGUUGAUAAAAUGCUUGAAAAUGGCAGAAAUCAUGCUUUAUAGCUCAAGACAUAAGCUAAAUGUGACAUGCUUGUCAUCCUCCUAUGUUUAAAUGAUUUUCAUGCUAUCAUUGUGAAAUGUGUAUGUUGUCAGAAUGGCCAUGAUAUUAGAAUAUGAGAUUAUGAUAUGAUUAUCAUCAUUCUUGUCUAUGUUAGAUAGUAUGAUAACCCUGUACUUCGUGAAAUCUAUAACUUAUUAAAUUAUGUGCUAUUGAUGUGGGUCUUGCACUUGAUAAAGUCAUGCUUCGUCAGUUCCCUUCUAUCGAGUCCUGAGGGUACUUGUACCCGAAACAUUUGUUGUGUGCCUAGAGCCAUGUCAUAUUUUCAUGAUACUCUCAGUCAAGCUAUGAUCCUUAGACUUCAGACACUCUUAUAACUCAGGAAAUCUCUAUGAUCUCAUGAACUCAGUCAGUUGUCAGAUAUUAGUAGUAUUUCAUUAGUCAACGGAAUUUAGUAACUUAGUCCAUGUUCAGUUCAGUAAAUCAUGUUCAGUAUCUAUUCAAAUGGGAGUAGAAAUUAGCACCGAGCAAACCCAAAGAUGGGAACUCACCUGUUAUAUGAGGGUGUGAUUCUUGGAAGCAAUCCUUGCAUUCCAGAACUAUGUAGCCAGCAUAGGUUGAGAUAUUAAAGCCUGCUAUAUGAGGGUAGAUGAGGUGGGUUAGCCUGCUAUAUGAGGGUUCCCACCGUUCUCACUAGAGUUACCUGUUAUAUUAGGGCCACUCACAUGUUAUCCUUACCAGUGGCGCGGUAUUGACACCCUUCCAAUCAGGGCAUAGAUUGGACCCUAAUUCAACUGUAAUGCAUCAUUUGGAGCAUGUCGGUUAGAUGACUAUCUCCUACAGUCUCAGUAUCAGUCUCAGUAAAAGAACUCAGAUAGUUCUUCAGAAUUCAGGACUGUCAGAUACAAUCAACUCAGAUACAUUAUGGAACUCAGCUAGUUCCAUCAGAUUCAGGACUGUCAGAUAUAGUCACUCAUAUUAUCAGUUAUCAGAAUUUAGUCAUUAGUCAUCAGCAUACUCAUGUUAUAACGAUUUCAGAUAUAGUUACUAUGUAUGGAUGCAUGUAUUCUCACGUUCAUAUUAGUCAGUUAGCCAGUAUUGUUCAUACGUAUGAACCCCAUGAUUUAGCCUACCUCACAUGCAUACCAGUAUAUUCAAAGUACUGAUGCAUUUGCACUAUGGUGUCUUAUACCAUAGGUUUAGAGACAUGAUCUCCAGAGCAUCAGUAUAUUCCAAAUAUCAGUAGUCAGAGUUAGCACUGAGUCCUCAUCCUUUGAGGACAUAAUUAUUUCCCUAUUAUCUCAUUAAUUUAUUUAUUAGUUGGGGACAUGUCCCAUCAACUCCUUACUCAGACAGUUUAGUCAGUUAGAAGCUUUCCAGAUUAUUAUGUUUAGACAGUUAUUUAAGUUGUUUUGGGUAUUUCAUACCCCAUUUAGAUGAUAUAUUUUACUUUAAUUAUGUGAACCUUAUGGACUUUCAGUUCAUAUUUCUACAUUAUUCAGUAUACAGGUACAGAUAUCAGUCAUGGGUUAGCUUGUGGUCCUUUGGGGUCAUGAGCACCGUGUAGCAUUCUGGGUACCAGAUUCGUGGCGUUACAAGUGGUGAGUCCUUAUCCAUCGAGGACAUGAUUUGAUUAUUUCAGUUAUUUUAGUACUUCCUUAUGUUCAAUUAGUUAGAGUUAGUUGGGGGUCUGUCCCAUCAACUCCUCAGUUAGUUUAGAGGCUUUCAGACAGUCAGUCAGGCAGUUAGUAAGUUACCAGUUCUUUCAGUACUUUUUCAUUAUUUUAGAUAGACCGUUGGUUUUCAGUAUUUAUCAGAUGUUUUAGACUUAUGAUGUAAUCACAUCUCAGUACUCAGAUUGGCAUUACUUCAGCAGUUUAUCUUCCAUAUACGUAUUUUAUUAUUAUUUUAUUCAGUACUCAUAAUAGGUUCCAGCUCAUGGGUUAGCUUGUGGUCACUUGUGACCAUAAGAACCGUUGUUGCAACUAGGGGGUAGCUUCAGGUUGUGACAUCAUUCUAUAUAAAGGAAUAAAAAUAGGCUUGGUGUUCGGCUCAACAACAAUAGCAAAGCUAGUAUCAUGAUCUAGAGGUAUAUCAAGCAAAUCAUUAGGAAACACAUCUUAAAACUCCUUAUCAAUUCAGACAGAAUUCAAAGGAAGUGGUGAAGCAAUACUAGUAUCGUGAACAUAAGCCAAAUAAUACAAACAUACCUUCUCUACUAUACGAGUUAACACAUAGAAAAGAUAAAACUCUCUUCGAACCCAAAUUAAGGAUACCCUUCCAUGACAACCUUGGAACACCCAGAGAAAAUAAAUUCAUGAUCCUAUGUGCUAGAGAAACUUAAGUCACAGUCUUAGCAUAGCUAACCAAAACAUACCUAAUAUAACAUCAAAAUCAACCAUAUCUAGGAUAAUCAAGUCUAUCAAGAUCUUACCCCCCACAAAGGUCACUAUACAAUAUCAAUAUACCUAAUCCACCACUAAAAACUCUCCUACUGUGGUAGAAAUACAAAGAGUCAUAACAAGAGUAUCAUAUGUAGCAUUAAAACCAGUAGUAAAGUAUAUAGACACAUAGGAAAAUGUUGAACUAGGGUCAAAUAACACAAAAACAGAACGAUGGACCUUUGAUAACUACAUCAGACGCCUCAACCUCAGGUCUCCUAGGUAUACAUAACACUAACCACGUCCACUCCCAGACUAAGCAACCUCGCGUUCCCUACCAUUAGCUCCCUGAGCUCCAUCUCGAGCACCUCUAGUACUAUCCCUACCAUCCUGCGAACCAACUUUAACUACAAAAUAGGAGAAAAAAAAUCUAAAGUUGAGAACUCUGCUGGGAAGAACUAUACACUUGUCAAGGAUAGUCCCUUGCCAUAUGAAAAAUCUCUUCACAUAUGUAACAAGCUUUGCCAUCAGAUGCAAGCAGUGGGCCCCUCGAAGAACUAGAGCAAUCUCCCUAUUCUGAUAAGCUAAGACUGAAGCCUCUACCUACAUGAGGUGAUCCCUAACUACCUAAUGUCAUAGAAACCACAAACCUAAUAUCUGAACCUUGUAAAGUUGCAUGCAAUGGUCUACCAUGGUAAAUACGAGAACCUCUUCCUCAGAAACCCCUACCUUUGAUACAUGUCUAUUAAACUUAGGGGUGUGCAAAAAUCAAACUGACCAAUAAAUCAAAUCGAUAAAAAUAUUAUUAGUUUAUUGUUAUUGGGUUAUUGGGUUAAUAGUUCUUUAGUGGUUUCAUAAAAAAAAAUUAUUUGGUUAUUGAUUCGGUUCGAUUUUUUCUUAUUAGGUUAUUGGGUAAAGCGAUAGCCCAAUAUAUAUAUAUAUAUAUAUAUAUAUAUAUAUAUUUCAAUUAUACAAACUCCUAAUUUCUCCUAACAACAUUUAGCCCAACCUUGAAGAUUCUUGUAAAUUAAAACAUAUCAUGAAGGAUUUUUUGUUACAAUUAAGAUUCGAUUUUUUUUCAUGUUAGUUACUAAUAUUUCUAUUUUAUGAGUAUUUUCUUAUCAGUUAAAUCAAAAAUUGAACCGUUAAGGACUAAAAAUCAAUAAACCAAAAACUGAUAAGAAAUAUCUUAUUGGUUUGGUUUUUGGUUUAGCAUAUUUAAAAAUCAAAAAUCGAUAAAUCAAACCGAUAAUAUAUAAAAUCGAAUUGAAAUGACCGAUGCACACCCCAAAAUGAACUCACCCUGUUGAUGGGUAUUCUUAGCACCAUCAUCACUCUAAGUACCUUGGUGAAUCGACUCAAGCUUCUUGGUAUGCUCAACUAAACUCUGAAAAACGUUCUCGACACUACUAUUUGAGUUGUAGCCAACUGAUAAAAACCUGCUAAUCCCUUGACAAACUUCUUAGUCCUCUUUGACUCAGUUAGAUAGUGGAAUCAGAAUAUAUAGAUAUCGCUUAAAAAUAUGCCUCAUACUUAGCAAUAGUUGUGGAGCCCUGCUCUGGGUGAUCAAACUCAUCUUUCAUCUGAUCCCUCAAAUCGAAAGGCAUAAACCUAUCUUGAAAAGUCUUUGAAAACUGAGUCCAUGUCAUAUCAGAAGAAUAUAAUGGUCUGCAACUAAUAAGAGGCCUCCACAAUUGUCUAGCCAUAUUAGUUAACUGAUUAAUAAUAUAAGAAACUCCAUGGGUCUCUAGGGAUCCGAGGUUGGACAACCUUCCUUAAUAGUCAAACAAAAAUUCAUAGGCAUCCUAUCCAAUGGAACCAUUAAAAUUAGGAGGAUCCAAAUGAAUGAAUCUCUCAAACUUGUUUUGACCCUAAGAAAACAUCACAGGGGAUGAAGCAACAAGAGAAACAGUGAGCCUAGUAGGCAUUAAAUCAACAGGGGUACCAUAGAAGAUGGAUGUGCCUCUUAAGUCAGAAUACCUUAAGUCUGUCCUAGCAUCUAAAUACUUCCUAAAGUUUGAGAAACACCUAGUACACUUAAAGAAAAACCAGCCUGAGGAGCAUCAUCCAGACAAUUCAACAGAUAAACCAAUAAAUCUUGUAAUAACGGGGUAACAGUUGAACCCCAUGGGACCUAAGUUGGCCUUGCAUCCUCAGUGUAAUAAUCCUCAGCAUACUCAAGCUCAUGCUUGGGAGAAGUAGCCCUAGUACAUCCUUUAAGAGGGACAACUCCUUAUGCCCGCCAUCUACCUCUGGGUUAACCAUGACCAGACUGAGAAAUACCAAGUUUACUCAAAGAAACACUAGCCCGAGGAGCGCUAUCCAGAUAACUGAACAGACAAAUCAAUAAAUCAUGUAGUAUCGGGGUAACAGCUGAAUCCUGUGGGACCUAAGUUGUCCUUGCAUCCUCUGUAUAAUAAUCAUCAGCAUACUCAAGCUCAUGCUUGGAAGAAGUAUCCCUAGUACAUCCUCUAACAGGGACAACUCCUUGUGCUCGUCGUAUACCUCUGGGUUGACCAUGACCUUUGUCUCACCCCAUUAUUGUGGGCGUAACAACAUGUUCUAGCUCAAUAUCUCUAGCAUCUUUGCACCCAUUCCUCACUAUAUACACAUAAAAUAAUAGAAUACAAGUUUAUAAUAAAAGGGUAUGAAUAACCUGCACAAUAAUGAAUUAAAUUAGAGAAGCUUUUCUAUCUUAUAACCUCUCAAAGAUAGAUGCAAACAUCUACGUACCAAUCCAUGAGACUCUAAUAGACAUCUCUCACUUACACAUAUGAGAUCGGUGAAUCUAGAACUCGGAUACUAAUUUGUCACGACCCCAAAAAUUUAUGUUGUGAUGGAACUUACCCCGACCCCGCCUUGGUAGGUAAGCCAAAAUCCAUAAUAGGUGAGAAAUAUAAAAAGAGAAGAAAUGAAAUAAUACGAUACUUGUAGAACGAAGUCAGACCAUAGUACUCAAACUAAAAAGUAUGAAAAAAAUACAACUAAAUCCCAAAACCUAGUAUCACAAGUACAUGAGCAUCUAAAUAAGUCUAAACUGAAAUAUAAUGAUUUGUCUAGAAAUACAAGCAAAGACAUAAAUAAAAAAUAGAUGUUGAGAUAAAGAUCCAAAUUGGGAGCUCACCAGAUACUCUGAAUGAAUAGCUACCACCACAUACAUCAGCUACCACGGCUUGUACUCGCACUAGGAUCUGCAAAAAAGAGCGUCGUAGGUAUGAAUAUUGUCUACUUAUACUCAAUAGGUAUCAUAGAUCGAAAGAUAAAAAAAAAAUAAUGCAGGUAAAAUAUAAUAUAAGCACGUCCCCUACAAGUAGAAAAGUUUUCAAAUAAUAGCUCACACCGUCUCUACUAGCAGUUUUAAGAUAUAAAGGCAAUAAAGAAAACUACCUACACAACAACAACAACACAUAAAGGAAUAAUAAAAUAAUAAAAACAAUGUAAUUCAAUGCAAUAAUGAUGUGAUACAACAAACAACAACAAACCCAGUGUAUUCCCACAUAGUGAGGUCUGGGGUGGGUAAGAUGUAUGCAGUCCAUAACUAUACCUCUAAAGAAGUAGAAAGGCUAUUUCCGAUAGACCCCCUGCUCGAGACACGAAAUACUACACAAAUACAUAGUAAAACAUGGAAAAAGAUGGCAUAACAUAAAUACGACACCCACAAGUAAUAGAAAAUAGAGAAAAGUAAACAGAUUCGUAAUAAAGCAUGAAACAAGGUAUCAUAACAAGAAUAAUACCCCCACCCAAGUAAUGCCCUACACUAGCGACCCAAACUGACCCUAAACUUCUUCCCUAAUUCGUGUCCUCCAGAUCUUCCUAUCUAGGGUGAUGUCCUCAGUGAUCUGUAACUGCUCCAUGUCCUGCCUAAUCACCUCUCCCCAGUACUUCUUUGGCCUACCCCUAUCCUACCUAAAACCAUCCAAAGCUAGCCUCUCACACCUACGAACCGGGGCAUCCAUGCCCCUCCUCAUUACGUGUCCAAACCAUCUCAAUCGUACUUCCCGCAUCUUAUUCUCCACUAGUGUCAUACCAACCUUCUCCCUAAUAGUCUCAUUCCGAACUCUAUUCCCCCUAGUCAGCCCACACAUCCAACGCAACAUCCGCAUUUCUGCCAGCUUCAGUUUUUGAAUGUGGGAUUUCUUAACUGGCCAACACUCUGCUCCAUACAACAUGGCUGGACGGACUGCCACGCUUUAAAAUUUGCCUUUAAGUUUGAGUGGCACCUUCUUAUCACAUAACACCCCCGAAGUGAGCUUUUACUUCAUCUAUCCCGCUAUAAUACGGUGCGAGACAUCCUCAUCAAUCUCACCGUUACCCUGAAUCACAGCCUCGAGAUACUUGAAACUAUCCCUCUUACAUACCACCUGUGAUUCCAACUUCACUACAACCUUAUUCUCCAGCCUCACGUCAUUAAACUUGCAUUCCAAAUACUCUAUCUUGCUCCUACUCAACCUGAACCCUUUCGACUCGAGAGUUUGUCUCCACACCUCUAAUUUAUCAUUCAUACCCUCACGUCUCAUCAAUCAAAACUACAUCAUCUGCAAAAAGCAUACACCAAGGCACCUCUCCUUGAAUACGCCGCGUCAACACAUCCAUCACCAAAGAAAACAAAAAGGGACUAAGAGUAGAUCCCUGAUGCAAUCCUGUCAAGACAGUGAAAUGCUCUGAGUCUUCUUCCGCCAUCCUCACCUGAGUUUUAGCUCCAUAUACAUGUACUUAAUUUCUCUGAUAUAUGUCAUUGGGACUCCACUCACCUCCAAGCAUCUCCAAAGCACCUCCCUGGGGACUUUGUCGUAUACCUUCUCCAAGUCGAUAAACACCAUGUCCAGGUCCUUCUUUNNNNNNNNNNNNNNNNNNNNNNNNNNNNNNNNNNNNNNNNNNNNNNNNNNNNNNNNNNCCUAAAUCCAAAUUGGUUCUCCGAAAUAGACACUAUCCGUCUCAGCCUCACCUUGACCACUCUCUCCCAAAUCUUUAUAGAGUGACUUAAUAACUUAAUACCCCUAUAGUUAUUGCAACUCUGAAUGUCACCCUUGUUCUUAUAAAGAGGGAUCAUAGUACUCCACCUCCAAGCCUCGGGCAUUUUUGUCAUUUUUAAAAUUUUGUUAAACAAUCCAGUCAACCACCUUAGACCAGCCUCGCCAGAAAACUUCCAAAAAUCCACCGGUAUCUCAUCAGGCCCCGUCGCCCUACCCCUUUGCAUCCUGUGAACAACCUCUCUAACCUCCUCUACCUUAAAAUGUCUACAAUAACUAAAAUCCCAACACUCGUUUGAGUGCUCCAGUUCUCCUAACACAAUAGCUCUAUCCCCUUCGUCAUUCAAGAGCCUAUUACGACUGCCAUCUAUUCUUAAUGUGGCCGUCCUCCACCAACACUGUACCAUCCUCUCCCUUAAUACACUUCACCUGGACGAGGUCACGACCCUUCCUCUCCCUAGCCUUAGCGAGUCUAAACAACUUUUUUCCCUCUUUUCUCCUGUAAUCCUGUAUACAAGCUCUCAAAAGUUGUCAUCUUAGCCGCUGUAACUGCUAACUUAGCCUUCUUCCUAGCUAACUUGUACUCUUUCCUGUUUACCCGCUUCUCUUCUUCGUCCUUACUCUCAACCAACUUAACAUACGCCCCUUUCUUGAUCUCUACUUUCUUCUUAACCUCUUCAUUCCACCACCAAUCCCCCUGAUGAUGCCCGUCCUGGCCCCUAGAAACACCCAACACCUCACUAACAUUCUCCCUAAUGUACCUAGCCACCCUAUUCCACAUACUAUCCACAUCCCCCCUACACUCUUACACUCCCAUUCCCGCCAACUUCUCUCCUAUCUCCCAUGCAUUCACUGGCGUCAAGCCGUCCUACUUAAUUAUAGGUCUACACUCCUCAGCCCUUCUCUUCCCAUCUUUCCUUAUACCCAAAUCUAUAACCAAGAGAAUAAUGAUGUGCUGAUGAAAGAAAUAAGCCAUUAGCUUUUUGUACACACUUUUUAGCCUUCACACUUCAAGACAUGGCCCAUAGGGGGUUUACAACCCAUAUACUUUCAUAUUAUCAAUCCCAUAUCUCAACUCACCUCUUCAAAUAGUGUUUAAAGAUUAAUAUUUUUAGAAAAUAUCUCAUUCACCUCUUUUUCUAUUAUUUAUGGAUCAAGGAGUUUAUAAAAUAUUUCUCAAUGGUAUUUAAAUCUCUUGAAAUGAUACAUAUAUCAAAUGAGGAUGGAAUGGUCACAACCAACUAAUAUGCUAUAAGUGAGCUAAAAAUCAAUUUACCAUGUUCAUGAACAAAAGCCCUUUUUAGGCACCUCCAAGAUAAAUAGUCAUGUAAAACAUCAAGAUAUCAUUUCAAAAACCUCUCUCUCGGGUAUUACUCUCAUGGUAAAGGAAAUUAAUGUCAAAAAAGAUGUAUAAUAUCUAUUCAAGCCCCGACACAGGCAUCAUAAUAAUGAACAUAACAUAUUAAUGGAUAAAUAAGGCUUAUAAUGUCAGUUAAAGUCCCCACUCGGGCAACACACAAUAAAUAUCCUAUCAAGUCAACAAUAUAUGUAAUUAGCCUCCACACAGGAACAUAAUAAUAAUAAUGAUCUUGAAAUAUAAAUUCCGUGGAUAUCUCCCUAAUUCAUAGCAUACUCUUUACAUAUUUUUUAACUACCUAACCAGUCUGAAGAAAUUGAAGCUACAACCUUCCUCGAUGUGUCAAAAUCCCAGCCUAAAACUUUUAACAUGGAUCCUUUCUAGCAUUUAGGUCGCAACAUAAGUUAAAAUAACAAAAAAUAUCAUCUAAUAAUUAAAAGAAAGCUAAUGAUACUCAUAUUAGCUAUAUUUAAAAUGAGUCUAAAAUAGGCUCGAAAAACGAGUAAAAAAUCGAACAGAGUAAAACUAAAAAAAUUUUAGAAACAUAUUUUCCAAGAUUAGAGGAGACUACAGUUUAAAACCCACAUGAAAUAAGUUUAAAAUGAGGUUCAAGUUGAAGAAAAAUCAUUAUAAAGCUUCACCUGCAAGAACCUCAAAAAUUUCAAUUUGAAAUCAAGGUCUUGAAGAUAUUUUCAAGAUAAAAAUCAAUGAAAAGUAAUGGUAAUGAGAGUUUGGAUCUUACCCAAGCUCAAUUGGUGAAAAAACCCCUAAGAAUCGCCCUAUCGCGAAGAUCCAAGGUCCAAAAAUGGAUAAAUUUACAAAAGUUGAGUAUUUAUACUAUUUUAUGAACAAUACCUCUUGAUUGUGAACCAAGCCUCUCAAUCGAGAUGGUCUGUGUUGACUUGACCAAAUAAUUGGUUCGCGAUUAGGUCUUUGCGUUUGUGGAGGCUUAUAACCUGAACCAUCUCAUUCGUGAUAUCCCGAAUUCGUGAUGAAAGAAAUACCCAACCUAGUCUUGUUUAUUUUUGUAAUAGUAUCUAAUGCCAUCGUUAUCUAUAAGAAGGAUAAUAUAUUUUUCUCGACCUGAGACUAACCCGUAGUCGUAAAACAAUACUUAAAGUCACAAACAACUUUAAGCUAACCCAUGGCCUAACAUAAUGCUAAGAAUACUUUAUAAAACUGAAUAAAAUUGCACAGAAGCUAGAGUUUGAAUAAUUUAUGAAAAUCAAAACCAAAUAUAAAUGUUAAAACAAAAUGGAAAUCACAGAAUAUAACAUAAAGCUGAAUCUCUACUGCCUGUUUAAAAGCCUCUACUAAGAUGAGUUGUUGGGACAAAUCCCUAGCUAACUCUAACUGUCUAAAAACUGGAAAGAUAUAAAUGAAAGAUACUAGUAUUUAGCCCUCCAAAUAUGAAGACUCACCAAAGUACUUUGCAAAUGUUGUAGGAGAUUGUCUUAUGCACAAUCUGGAUGUUGAACGUUAGAACCUAUAUUAUAAGAUAAUAUAGCACAAAAAAGUAUAGGAUCUGUACUUUGAAUAUACCAAGUAUUUGAGAUAAGAAAUAAUUGAAAUAGGCUGAACAUGAUACAUGUAACAUAGUAUCUGAAUAAACAUGUGUUGAAUGUUAUGUUGAAUAACUGAAUAUAAGGUCAAGCAACUACCUGAAUCUAAACUAUAAACUAUGGGAGCUGUCAUUAACCGAUAUAUUGUACACUACGGAAGAUGCCAUUAACCGAUAUACCCCAAUCUAAGCUAAUUGAUUCCAACCUAUCACCCCAGUUGUAUGUGUGUUCAGUACCUUGCCAAGGGUACGAACACUAACUGACGUGGAUCCACUAAAUUGAUGUCCAUAAGGACUGUGAUAUCAAGCCUGGUCUGAUGGGUGACUCUUUAUAACCUACAGUGGCAUUGUGGUUCUAGGACUUAGGGACUUCUACUUAAGGUCUAAGCCUAACUGACGGGUGAGCCUUCAUACCUGCGUUCGCUUGGCACUAAGUACUACUCCCAAUUGAAUAAUAACUGAUAACUAGAAUACUUAAUAAUAUUAAUAUUUUGAAGACUGGAAAUAAGUAACUUAUCUGAAAGCAUUAAAUUGUGAAAAUUGAACAACUAAAUAUUCAUAAUAUAUGCAUAAAAUUCUAGGUCAUCAGUUGUUCAUAACCAACAAUCUAUGAAGAAUACAACUACUAUGGCAUUCCAAUAAACAUAAUAAAAUAUGAAAUUUCACAACUCAUGUCUAAAAUCAUGAAUUAUAUAUUACACUGAGGGUUCAUAAUUAUAAGAAUGAGAUGAUACUGAAAUUCAUGGGAUAACAUGGGUCUAUCGCUCAAUUAUGACAAACAACUAAAAUAUAAAGGAAUUCAGACUACUCAUGAACCCUAGGCUUAGAGGAAGGAUUUAAAUUGAGGAAUUUAGGUUAACUUUGGAAUCCAAUGGGUGAAAGAAAACCCAUAGAUGAAAUUUCACAUACAUAGAGAUGAGAACCUUGAUGAAAUAUUUAAAAAUGGAGCCUGAGAUUGGAGAACUCUAGUUUGCCUUGAAGGGAGGAAAUCACCUCUUUCUUUUAUUGUGAUGCUAAGUGUCAAGCAAUUUUGAUGUAAUGAGGGACUUAGAGUAAUAUUGAUUUUAAUAAUCAAAUCUAGGGUGACUUAAAUGAUGUAGUUUUGAUGUUAGAAGAGUGAAAAAAGACUUUAAAGCCCCUUAUCAAACAUAACUGAAAAUCCAGAGAAUUAAGUCUUAUGGACCAUCCCACAAUCAUGGGACCCACCUACUAUCGUGUGUAGUAUUCAGAGGCUCUCUGGACUUGAUCAUAUGAUCUAUGACACAAUCAUGAGACCUACCUAUAAUUGUACCUUGGCUUAUAAGUUGAAAGUCCAAGCCUAAUUAGCUUUAGGACUCACAAUCGUACCUAAUAUUGUGGUUUCAAACCAAGAUCAAGGUUAAAUCUCAUGGUUGGGAGGUGCAUUUGUAAACAUUCAGGUGUUUGGGAUUGUUUCUAUCAGACGAGGGCAUUGUAUAGUCGUACAAUAUCACCAAUAUAUUACCUACACUCGUAGGUUCUCUCUGUUGGACAGUGCCUCAAUAAAAUGGUCAUAACUCUUAGCUCUUGAAUCGGAUUAAGGCAAAGCUGGAUAUGUUGGAAAUAAGACUCAAAGCCUUUCAUUUGGUUGGUAUUGAGAUCAAAAACACUAUAGAGACUAUGAUUUAUGCUCAUUUGAAGUUGACUGUAGAAGGAUUCUUCACAAGAAAUCAUCGAUAAGGAAUAUUUUAACUUGACUAUGAGCUAGGAGUUACUUGUGGCCUUAGUACAAGUAUAAAUCACUUCUCAUACUAACACCACAUGAUGUUUGAUUCUACGUGUACUUAAAGCAUAGUUUUAAUCUUAGCUUAAGUUUUUAGGGUGUUCCAAUAUAUCUCGCUCUUAGGGUCAUUCGUCCUUGACUAGAAACUAACUAAAUUAAAGAGUUAGGGAUAGAGUUACAACCCCACCACUGAAAUUCAAAGGGAUGAAUACUGACAUUAUAACUGAGUUCAUAACUAAAACAUAGACUGAACCAAACUCAUGAAUGCAUGUUAUGACAUGAGAAUAAUUGGGUGACAUGUAAUAAAAAGAAUUAAUUAAAGGAAAAUUAUUACCUCAAGCUGGAACUUAGCUCGAAGGAAAAGAUGAGGGCACUUGGUCAUCAUAUCUGACUCUACUUUCCAAGUAGCUCCCUUAGUUCAUUGAUUUUUCAAAAGAACCUUUACCAAAUCGGCCUUCUUAUUUCUCAACUUACGAACCGAACAGUCAAGGAUCUCAAUUGAGACUAUUCGUAAGACAGACCAUCUAUCACACCCACACUCUCUAAGGGCAAAACUAAUGAAGGAUUACCAUUACAUUUCUUUAACAAGAAUACAUAAAAAAUUAGAUGCACCAAUGCUAAGUUUGUAGGUAAAUCUAUCUCAUAGGCUACAUUACCAAUGCAACUGACAAUCUUAUGAGGACCAAUAUAGAGGGGACUGAGCUUUACCUUCUUACCAAAUCUCUUUACCCUUUUUAUAGGAAAAACCUUCAAAUAGAUAAAAUCACCAAUAGCAAACUUAAGCUUCCUUCUCCUUACAUCUGCUUAGGACUUUUGAUGACUCUGUGUUGUUUACAACCUUUUUCUAAAUAACUAAACUUUCUUUACAGCCUUAUGAACUAAAUAUGGCCCUAUCAAGGUAGCUUCACUAACUUUAAACCAACCAAUAUAAGACCUACACCUCCUACCAUAAAGUGCUUCAAAUAGGGCCAUCUGAAUAUUGGAUUGAUAGCUAUUUUUAUAAGAAAACUCAAUCAAAGUCAAAUGAUUAUCCCAACUGCCCUUAAAUCAAUCACACAUACUCUCAACAUGUCUUCUAAGGUAUGAAUGGUCCUUUCUUCUUGACCAUAUGUAUGCAGGUAAAAAUCUAUAUAAGAUGAACAUAGGUACCAAAACCUUUCUGAAAAGUCUUCUAGAAUUGAGAGGUAAACUGAAUACCUCUAUCUGAAAUGAUAGCCAGAGUGACUAUAUAAAAUUUCACCAAAUCCCUAAGAUAGAAUUUAGUAUAAUCCUUACCUAAAUCUAGAGUGUUAGCUGGCAAGAAAUGGGUCGACUUAGUCAUUUAGUCUAUGAUAACCUAAAUAAAAUCAUGUUGUCAAUGAGUACAAGGCAAUCUUGUAAUAAAGUUCAUAUUCACUACUUCCCACUUCCAAGUAGGAAUAUCGAUACCUUGAAAUGCACCACCAGGUCUCUAGUACUCAACCUUAAUCUGUUGGUAAUUACGAGACUUAGCCACAAAUACCGCUAUAUCCUUUUUUAUGCCAUUCCAAUAAUAGACUUCCCAUAGAUCAUGAUAUAUUUUAGUGGCUCCUAGGUGAAUAGAACACCGAGAACUAUGAGUUUCUAUUAACAUCCACUGUCUCAUGUCAUCCAUAUUUGGAAUGCAUAGUCAGCCUUGAUAAUAAAGAACAACAUCUUCUCCUUGGGAGAAAACCUCAAUCUUCUAACUCUGGACCGCUUCUUUUAAUUAAGAAAAAUAGGAUCACUAUCUUACUUUUCUUUCACCUCAGCUAUUAAUGAAAAUUCUAAACCAUUCUAAACCAAGAUAUUAUCUUAGGUUGAAUCAACCAACCGAACUCUCAAUCUAGCAAGUUGGUCAACCUCUCGAACUAGCUCUUUAUUAUUACCCUCAAUAUAAGAAACACAUCCUAUAGAAAAUCUACUAAAAGCGUCAGCCAUAUAUUAGCUUUACCCAAAUGGUACAAGUCACUCAUAUCAUAAUCCUUCAAUAACUCUAGCCAGCUUUUCUGACAAGAAUUUAGAUUCUUGUGACUGAAUAAAUAUUGAAGACUUUUGUGGUUGGUGAAAAUCAACAUGAACCCCAUAAAGAUAAUAUCUCUAAAUCUUUAAGGAAAAAACCAUUGCUGCCAACUCAAGAUAAUGUGUUGGGUAAUUCUUUACGUAAGGCUUGGGUUGUAUAUAGACUUAUAUUAUAAUAAGGCCAUGUUGUAUCGACACACAAACAAGUCCAACUCUAGAAGUAUCAUAAUGAACCAUAAAUCGAUAUGAACCAUUAGGUAGAGUCAAAACUGGAGCGAAGGUGAGUCGACUAUUCAACUCCUGAAAAUUCUUCUCACAAGACCCAGACCACUAAAACUUGGCUUUUUCUGAGUUAGUCUGUACAUAAGAGAAGAAAUAAAGGGGAAUCCCUCAAUAAAUUAUCUAUAGUAACUAGCUAAACCCAAGAAAAUCUUGUUAUAUAAUGGAGAGAUGGGUCUAGGCAAAUUCCUAACUAUUUUGAUCUUUUGAGGAUCAACCUGAAUGCCCUCACCAAAAUAAUAUGACUAAGGAAUGCUAUCGAUUUCAACCAAAAUUCACACUUUUUGAACUUAGCGAAUGACUGGCGAUCAUUGAGAGUCUAUAAGAUAACCCUCAAAUAGUCUGCAUAUUCAUCCUUAUUCCGAGAAUAAAUGAAGAUGUCAUAUAUAAAGACUAUAAUGAACAUACAUGUACUGCUUGAACACCCUAUUCAUUAAGUCCAUAAAAGUUGUAGGAGCAUUCACUAUCCUAAAAAAAUUAAAGUGAUCAUACCGAGUUUGCAAGACUAUCUCAAAAUGUCAUAUAUAACUCUAAGUUGAUGAAAUCCGAAUCUGACGUAGAUUUUCAAAAAGAAUUAGCACCUUGAAAUUGGUCGAACAUGUCAUCAAUCCUAGGAAUAGGAUACUUGUUCUUGACUGUAACUUUGUUCAAUUGAUGGUAGUCGAUGCAUAUUCUGAGAAAACUAUCUUUCUUGCACAUAAAAAAAAUUGGAGCACCAUAUGGAGAGACAUUAAGCCUUAUAAAACCCUUGAGUAGGAAAUUUUUCAACUACUUCUUCAAUUUCUUAAGCUUGUCUAGAACCAUUUUAUAGGAUGGAAUAGAGAUAGGUUGGGUAUUUGGAAGAAUAUCUAUUCUAAAGUCAAAUUCUCACUCGGGAGAAACUCUAGGCAGAUCUUUAGGAAGCACAUUUGGGGACUCAUUAACCACUACAAUUUACUCAAGAGUUGGGGUUUCAAACUUCAAAUCCUUAACCCAAACAAGAUGAUGGAUGUAUCAUUUGGAGAUCAUUUUUCUAGCCUUAAAGUAAGAGACAAACUGACCUAUAUACACCAAAGUACUAUCUUUUCACUCAAUGACUGGCUUAUUUAGAAACUGAAACUAGACUACUCUAUUUCUACAAUUAAUUAAGGCUUAGUAAGAGUGGAGCCAAUCCAUGCAAAGAAUAAUAUUAAAAUCUAUCAUGUCUAACUCAUCAAAAUCAAGUGUGGUGGUUUUUUAAGAAACUAUGUGUAACACCUCAAUUUUCUGAACCGAAAUGCUAUAUGGUGCUCAUAACCCCGAAGGACCACAAGUUAACCCAUGACUGAUAUCUAUACCGGUACACUACAUAAUAUAACAUGAAAAUCUAGAAACAUGUACUGAAUGGCCAUAAGGUUCAAAUCUGAAUAAACAUCUGAUAAGACAAUGUCUGAAAAUGGUAUAACAAUACCAAAACAAAUCUAAAAUAAAUGUCUGACAUGCUAUAGUCUGGAAAGCCUCUAAACUGUCUGAAUAAAGAGUUGAUGGGACAUUUCCCCAACUAACUCCAUCUAGUAACUGAACUAAAACAUCAAAUGAAGCAAUAAUCAUAUCAUCCUCGAAUGAAAAAGACUCACUGCAAACUCUGAACAUUGGAAUGUAACUGCUGAUCUGGAGCUUGUGCCUUUGAACCUAUGGUGUAACAUAAGAGAAAGCACCAUAGCACAAAUGCAUCAGUACGUCUGAAUGUACUGAGUAUAAGAGUGAGGUAGGCUAAAUGCAAAGGGUUAUAUGCAUAAACAAUGCUAACUAAUAUGAACGGGAGAAUACAUACAUGCAUACAUAACUGUAACUAAACUCGUGGAGAUACUGACAGCUGAGUCUGAAUACUGACAACAUGAGUGUACUGAUACUGAGAUACUGAAUAGAUGAAUGACUAUUUCUGACAGUUCAAAUUAUGAAGAACUGGUCUGGUUAACUAUGCCUGAAAGUCCUGAAGCUGAAUACUGAUAUCAUAAAUUCUGAUAACUGAUAGGACUGAUAUAACUAUGAUGAUUAGCCUAACCGAUGUAACUGAUAUUGAGCGACUGUAUCUGACAGUCUAAGUUCUGAUGAAACUGUCUGAGUUCCAUUCUACUUGGAGUAACUGAAUCUAAGAUCAGUCCUAUCUAGCGGGUGAUCAUGAGUAUACUGAUAAUAAGGAUGAUUUGACUUAGUCUGAGAUCAUUCCUAUCUAGCUGGAUUAAUCAUAGUUGAGAUCAGUCCUAGCUAAUGGGUGAUCUUGAAGUCUAUUUACAAUGAUAAGUAUUGACUGUAUCUAAUAGUAUUAAAUCUGUACUACUAAGCUGAGUUGAUUGUGUCUGACAGUCCUGAAUCUGUAACUGAAACUGUGGGAUAUGUUCAUCUAACUGACAUUCCCCAAACUAAGAUGACUGGGAUCCAAUCUCUGCCCUGACUUGAAGGGUGUCAGUACCGCGCCACCAGUAAAUACAUCUAUUGUGGAGUCAGCCCUAAUCUAGCAGGUGGCUCCUGAGAUCAAUCCUAUAUAUAUAAAUGUGCUAACGGGUGACCCCUGAGUACGUCAGUCCUAUCUAACGGGUAACAUCUCGUACCUACGCUGGCAACGUAGUUAUGGAACUUAGGGAUUGAUUCUAGGGAUCUCAGUCUUAUUCUAGAGGGUGAGCCCCCAUCCCUAGGUUCGCUCGGUGUUGAAUCCUACUCCCAUCUGAAAUACACUAACUGAAUAACUGGGCUGAACUAAAUAACUUAACUAAACUAAUUUGCUGAACUGAUACUGAUUAAUUGAACUGAAAAUAGUGUUAUUGUUUAGCGGAGCUAAAACUGAGUUUACUGGAUUCUGAUAACGGAUGUAAUAUAAUGAGUUCUGAGGACUGAUUAAGAGUACUGAAGUUACUGAGAUUUACUGUGAUUACUGAGGUUACUGAGCACUGAGAUUACUGAGUUUUCCUGAGUCACAUGACUGGCUGAUUUCUAUAGAUCAUGGCUUGACUGAGAGUAUCGUGAAAACAUGACAUGGCUCUAGGCACACAACUAUUUUUUUCGGGUGCAAAUACCCCUAGGACUUAAUAGAAGAAAACUGAUACACAUGACUGACUUGAUCAUAAGAGUAGAGUUCAUAAUCCACAAUAUCAUAAAUAAGGGAUUUCAUAUUAAGCAUGGUUCUCAACAAUCUAUUUCAUGGAAGGGAAUUUCAUACAACAUAUAUAUACUUGCAUAGCUUUCAAUAUCAUGCUCAUUACAUAUUACAACCACAAUCCAUAAUAUCAUAACUGGGGGAAUUUCAUGAAGUACAUUGGUAAACUACAUCUUGUACAUGAGUGGGUUUUGCAAGUAAGCAUAGCAUAAUUCCAUAAGACUAGUUCAUGAGUAAUCCAACAGUGUUCACAAGACACAUUAUCAACAUGGAUGACAUUGAAUCAUAGAGGCCUAUCAUGAAUCCUCCCCUUAGUCAUAAUUUAGCUAUAAUGCAUGAUUUCUAGUCUCUUAGGUAUUUUAUCAAACACCUUACAUGCACAACUUAGGCAUAGGUGUAAAUCAUACAAUUACUCAUCAUAAAUAAUCAAAGUAACAUGUUUUCAACUCAUAUGAUGUCAUAGAUUCAUAAUAACACAUAAAUAUUCUAUCUUAGCAUCAUUCAACACAUAAACAUGAUCAACAAUCUAUUCAUAACAUGAAAACCAUCAUAUAUAGUUUUAGAAAAGGGUUCUUGAACUUCAUCGAUGAAAGGAGUCCAUGAAUGAACACACGCAUACCUUAGAAAGAAAACCUUGAUGAUUUACUGGAGAGUUCUUAGAUUGGGACACUUAAUUCUUGAUUAUCUUAGAAAAAGGCUUGAAUCUUGCUUUUGAGAGAUGAGUUUGAUGGAAACCCUAAUCUUGUGGUUGAGAGUGUAAGAGAAAGAUUUUUUAGAUGUUUUAACUAAAGAGAAUGGAAGAUAAUACGUUCCUUGAGGGUUAUAAGUCAUGAAAAGUGAAGGGAAAAGAUCAAAAUACCCUUCUGAAAUAAUUCAUAAAUUCCCAGUUGCUGAAAAUCAUAGCUGACGACAUUUGUGACAAAGCAUAAAAAAUGUAGUAAGCUACUACGAAUGUCGUCACACAGAAGCUAGUUUCUGCCUAAGGCUGACGACCUUCGUGGUAGGGCAUCACAAAUGUGGUAAGUUACCACGAAUGUCAUCACUUAGGAGCUGGUUUCUGCCUAAGGCUGACGACCUUCGUGGUAGGGCGUCACAAAUGUGGUAAGCUACCACGAAUGUCGUCACACAGUUUUCAGCCUGACAUGCUGGAGUAAAAUAGGAAUAACUCUUUGCUCUGAUAUCAGAUUUAGGCGAAAUUUGUAUCAUUGGAAAGAUAAUUCAAUUAUCUAUCUGUUGAUAGGUCAUGAACUCAAAAAUUUCAAGUAUAAUGAGAGAUAUGCUCGUUUGAAGUUGACUAUACCACUAUCCUUCUCAAGAAUUCAAUCGGUAAGGAAUGUUUUGAUUCGUCUGAUAGAUGGGAGUUAUUUGAAGCCUUAAUAUACAUCUAACUUAGUCAUAAAACUAUAAAAUAACCAUGAUGUACUAUGCAUGAUCUUGGUACAUGGCUCUAAUAUUGGUUUGGAUAUUCGGUAUAUAACAAUGCAUAAGGUAUAUGAUAACCUUCCUAAUCAUGUGGGGUCUAAAAGGCAUAGAACCUGUUGCAGCGUUGUCCACCAACUUCACUAAAUGAGGCACCUUGCUGAUUUAGGUGACCUACUAGAGCUGUUGAAAAGUUAGACUAACUUUACAGAUAAGCAUCCCUACCUCUCUAUGAACCAUUGGACAUUUCCUUAAUCUGUGGCCUAACUUUUUACACUCAAUACAAUUAUCGCUACCAGCCAUACACAUACACUUGUAGUCCUUACCAUACUUCUUGAAAAUUGAAUUAGCUUGACCACUAUUCAUACUACCUUAUGACUUAGAGCCUAUUACUCUAUCCUAACUAUCUUGCAUGAGCAUGGAUCACUAGUAGAUGAUAGGGCUGGAGCUGAAGAUUUUUGAUAAAACUAAGAACCAUUACCACUAUUUAACCUCUGCUGGGAGAAAUUAAAGCUAUAGUUUUUGGGCCUCUUACUCUUUCUUUCCUUCUUCUUGAUUUUCUAUUCUCCAGUAUCACAACAUGAACCAUCAACCUGGAGAUGUCCUUCUCCCUAAUCAACAUAGCAGUCUUAUAUUCUUAGACCACAUCCUCAUAAAUACUAGAAAAAACUUAAUCAUCCAGGCCUUGGAGUCAACAACCACUGUCGGUGCAUACUUAGCCAGUUGAGUAAACUUGAGAGAAUACUCUUCAUGUUACCCUACUUCAGAUUAAUCAACUCCUUAACUUUGGCUUUCCUCAAGUAGAAAGAACAGGUAUAGAAAAGUAGUAACAAACUCAUUCCACUCUACCGGUUCUGUAUCCACACCUCUAUUAUUUUUCUACUAUUUUAUUUAUACCAAGUGUGAGCAGUUCCUUACAACUGAUAAGCAACCAUAUCAGCCCUUUCAUUUAGACUGGCACCCAUGAUAUGAGUAACUUUAUGAAUAUUAUCUAGGAAUUCCUGUGGAUCCUCUUCAGACAUAGAUCCAACGAAUACCAUAGGAUUCAUUUAAGUAAAAUCUUGAACAUCUAGUUACUACCAUAUUUACUACUGGGUUGGAUGGUUCCAUAAUAUUCUGGUUAUUCUGAUGGCCAUGGACUGGGCUAACCCUAUUAAAUCAGCCCUAAAUUCAGCGCAAGAGGCUUGCUCAUUCAGAGGGUCUACUGGAACUGGUAGUGCUUGUUGGUUCAUAAUUUUGUUACUAAUUUUGUUUCUUCUUCCGUUGGCUCUUCUAGUAGGCAUUUUCUAUAAAUGUAUAGAGAACGAGUUAGAAGAUGAUUUAAUAGAGUUCACAUUUUAUUGCACGAUAUGAAUAUGGAAAAAAUAAAACUUUUUCUAAAAUAUUUCAUAGCCUUUCACUCAAAAGUGUGGCGCGCUUCACACCCAUGAAUAAGACUCUACUUAAUGCGACUUUCAGAUACCCUAGGAUACUUUAAACCUGAUGCUCUGAUACCAAGUUUAUCAUGACCCGAGACUACCCCUUUGUCGUAAUAUGGUACUUAGAGUCAGAAGCGAUCUCAAGCUAACUCAUGGCCUGGCAUAAUGCUAAGAAUACUGUAUAAAACUUACUAACACUAUGAAGAAGCUAAAGUCUAAAUGAUAUAUAAAGAUCAAAACCAAAUGUCAAUGUUAAAACAAAAUAAAAAUCAUUGGAUAUAACAUAAAGUCGACUCUCUACUCUCUGUCUGAAAACCUCUACUAAGAUGAGUUUCUAGGACAAACCCCUAGCCAACUCUAACUAUCUAAAAGUUGGAAAGACAUAAAUAAAAAUUAUUUAUAUUUAGCCCUCAAAAGACGAGGAUUCACCGAAGUACUGUUGUUGAUGUAAUAAAAAUAUGUACUAGAAGGGAUCUGUAUGUUGAACGUUAGAAACUAUAUUUUAAGACAAUGUAGCUCAAAAAACAUAUGUAAUCAGUACUUUGAAUGUAUUGAGUAAGUGAAAUAGAAAAUAACAAACAUAGGCUAAACAUGAUGCACGUACAUGAUAUUUGAUGCAAGACUAAGUAAUAAAUAUGUGCUUAAUAAUAUAUUGAAUAACCAAAUACUAAGCUAUGCAACUAUCUGAAUUUGAACUAUACACUAAGGGAUAUACCAUUAACCGACACACCUAAUAUGAGCUAAUUGGGGUACAACCUUGUAACUUCAGUUGGAUGGGUGUUCAGUACAUUGCCAAGGUUAUGAACACUGACUGACAUAGAUCCACUAAACUGAUGUCCAUAAAGACUAAGGUAUCGAUCUAGGACUAAAGGGUGACCCUUUAUAACCUAUGAUAGCACUGUAGUUUUGGUACUUGAGGACUUCUCCUAAAGGGCUUAGCCUAACUAAUAGGUGAUCCUUCACCCCUGCGUCUGCUUAGUGCUAAGUACUACUCCUAACUGAAUAACAACUAAUAACUGUAAUGCUUAAUAAUAUUAAUAUUCUAAAGACUAAAAAUAAGUACUUUAUAUGGAAUCAUUCAAUCAGUAAAACUGAAGGAUCAAAUAUUCAUAAACAUAUGCAUGAAAUCCUAGGUCAUUAGGUGUUUAUAACUCGUCAAUUCGGAAGAAUACAAUAACUAUGACAAUUCCCGUAAAUGAAAUAAAAUACAAAAAUUAACAACUCAAGUCUCAAAUUAUGAAUUAAACAUUAUAUCGAGGGUUAUAAUUAUAAGCAUGGGAUGACACUGAAAUUCAUGGGAUAACAUGCAUCCAUGACUCAAUUAUGACAAAGAACUAAAAUAUGAAGGUAUUCAUACUACUCGUGAACCCUAGGCUCCGAAGGAGGAUUUAAACUGAGAAUUUAGGUUAAUAUCAAGACUCAAUGGGUGAAAGAAAAUCCAAAUAUGAAAUCCCAUAUAUAUUUGGAGAUGAGAACAUUGAAGAAAUCCUUAAAAUUGGAGCUUGAUAUUGGAGAACCCUAGUGAAACACCCUGGUUUCUGGACCUUGGAAAAUUUUCUUGAUUUUUAGUUUCUGGGCAAGAUGUGAAUUAGGGGAACAAGUCAUACACUUUGGUACAGGUGGUAUGGUCCAUUCAUGUGCUAAACAAUAUUGGUUGAUGAGAUGGAUACAGUUAUUGGAAUGAGUACGAUGUGGGUGGUACAAGUUGUAUUUGUGGAUAUGUUUUGUUUGGUUACUUCACUUAACCUUAGACUUGGUAAAUUAAUUUGGAUCUGAGUAUGAGUGGAUCACCACAAGCCGUAAGCCAGGGUAUGAGUCGUACCAUGGACUCGUAUGAUGGUCAGUGUUCAAUCCUCUUGGGAUUCUAUUCUGCCAGGGGUAUGAUUUAGGGGUACCAGUCGUACUCUUGGAUAUGACAUGGGUUUAGGUAUGUCGUACGUUUGACAGUUUUAGGUCAAAGAGGGAAAACCUAGGGUACGAGAGGUGGGUACCACUCGUACAGGAUGGGUACGACUCGUAAGGGUCAGUCAUAUCCUAUUACGAGAAUUAAGUGCAGUUUAAGGGAGGGCAAUCUAGAUAUUUUCCCACUUAUCCUAAUAAGGUCCCACAACUUAUAUAGCACUUGGGAGGUUAUUUGCUCUACUAUUCUAUUCUUAAACACUUAUAAAACACUCUUAAAUCCUCUCUAGAGUUCUUGGGCAAAUGAAGCUAAGGUUACAUCUUAAGGAGUAAAUUGGGGCUUAUCUUGGUUUAAGGCAUGUUAUCCUCCCUCAUUGUUAGUUCUAACUAAAGGAAUGGAUUUUAUACAAUGUUUUCAUGAUUUGAAUGUUGUAUGAUUUUAAGUUUUCAAAUAUAAUUUGGGGAUUUGGUUAUAAAUGCUUGGUUAUGAUUUUUCCAUGUUUUAAUUAUGCGUUUAUAUGUAUUAAUGGCGGUUUUGGAUAGUUGGUUGCAUGGGAAUGGUUGUUGGUAAUAGGCUUUCAUUUUGGAAAUACUAUGCCCCCAAUGUGUUUGAUAAAAUGCCUAUAACAAUGUUUUACCAUAAUAUUGGGUUUUUAAUGAAACUUAUGCAUGGUUUAAACUUGGUAAUGGAACCCUAAAUAAUAUGAAUGGUUUAAAUGGUUUUGGAAUAGUUUGGCUUAAUAAACGUACUUGUGGGAUACGAGGGAAUCCCCCAAGUUAAUAUGGUAAUGAAUACUUGUGGGGUACAUGGGAAUCCCCCAAGUUAAUUGGAUAAUAGGGUCUAUGGAUACAUAGGAAUCCCUUGACCUCUAAAAGGUUUGACUAAGGAUAAUACUUGCAAGUCAUAGGCGGCAUGAUGAUACCACUACUAAUAGCCUUUGUUAAUAAUAAUGGAAUAAUGGUUUGGUUGAAAAAUGGUUUUAAUUGGGUAAUAAUGGUGGGAUGUGAAAGCAAACCGUGAAGGUGGGAGUCCAAUGGAUGAACACUGGAAACUCAUAUUUGCCGACAUAAAGAGUAGGUCAUGGCGACCUUAUAGAUACUUAUGAGGUACACAAGAAUCCUCUAGGUACACUGUACAUAUGUAUCAUGGAGAGUGAAGCGUACAUAAGAAUCCCCGACUCUUAUGGUAUCUCGAAUUUAUGCAGCUACAUGCAUCGGGCCCAUUCAGGGGGUUACACUGAACCCAUGUAGCCCGUGGGUAGUUUUAGGAUGGUUAAGCUUCACAUACCGAGGUUAAAGGUUUUAAAUACAUGCUAAACUCGAUUUCCUUUCUCGGUAUGGUUAUAUACAUAUGUAUGGGUUGCGUGCAUAUGGAUGGUUUUACUUAUUUUUCUUAAAUGACAUUAUUUUAUCCUUAUCCUGAGUUCAUGCUAGCGUUCACCCGCUAACCCAUCUUUGGACAGCUAUAUCCCCAUACUAUGAAGGAAUCAAUUGUUCUACUCCUCUUGCUUAGCAUUCGGACAUUCGGGGGUCAGUUUUGGAUAAGUGGUAAGCUUUUAUUUUUCCAAUACGCUCCAUUUUAUGGAUGUUAUUUCAUACUUUGGAUUAUUUAUGGAUAUUGGUUUUGGCUAUGGUUGGGGGCAUGUCCUAACCAGAUCUUAGUAUUCUUUUCGUUAGAGGCUUUUGUGGAACCACUAUAGGUUGAAAUGGAAAGGAUCUGUAUGGGUGUCAGCCUUAACAUUAGUAUUGGUAUUGGGGCUGACACGGGUUGACUGAAUUGUUGGUUGUUCCAUCCUCUUUAAUUUUGGGAUUAUAUAUUUAACUAUUAAUGAAACUUAUUUAGUUACGGUCAGAUUUAUGGUUUUAACUUGGCUUGGUAUAGUUGGACGAUUGGUAUGGGAUGGUUGGACUUGGUUGGAUCGGUCACGAUCGUGACCCUAUCCCAGAGUCUUCACAUAAGCUAUUAUGCUAUCUUGUUAUAUGCUCAAAAUUCAGUCAACUCGGGGCAGGAGACUAGAGGUUGGGUUGGGUAAGGGGUGGUCUCCGGUCCAAGUCAAACUUGGGAUGCCUAUUAUGAUAAGACCCCGAGCCGGGUUGUGUCAAGUUGGUAUUAGAGUUAAUGGUUUAUGGUCAAUUGGGAGUCUACAAAGCAAUUUCUGGUAGAGUCUCUUUUAGGGGUAUUUAGCAUGUCACACUCAUAAGAGAAAGGCUAUAGGAUAUUUAGGAAUGUUUCACUUUUAUGGUAUUCUGUUUUCAAGCUUGGAGUCUGAGUCUUGGAAUUUUUCUCUAAUCCUUGGUUGUUCAUUUUUCAGAUCAUGCCUUGACGAUUUGGAAUAUAAAGAAAUUUUUCUAUCCCAUCUAGGGAUGAUGUUGAUGAGUUACGUCCUACACCUAGAGUUCACACACGAUCUCAGGGUCCUAUCCCUGAUUGUUCUGGAAUUCCCCUAGUUGCUACUAGUCCUCCUCAGGGUGAAGUGACUAAUGCAGAAUUUUGCUAAUCUAUUCAUACUAUUGCUCAGUUGGUUGCUUCUCAGGCUAGGCAUGGGUUAUCUGCUGAGGCCACAAUGUUUAGCCAGUUUAUGAAGCUGAAGCCUCCUACUUUUACUGGUGUGAAGGUGGAUGAGGAUCCUCAAGGUUUCUUGGAUGAAAUAGAAAAAUAAUUCUGGGUGAUGCUGGCCACUAAUGUGGAAGGGGUGAAUUUUGCAGCCUAUCAGCUCAAGGAUAUUGUGUACCACUGGUACGAGAAAUGAGAUAGGGAUAGAGGUGGUAUAGAGGAGUUGUCCUUAUGGGAUGCUUUUUCUAAUACUUUUCUAGAUCGUUUCUUUCCUUAAGAGUCGAGGAAAACAAAUAUGAAGGAGUUUAUGAAUCUCAAGCAAGGUAAAAUAUCUUUCAACGAAUAUGCCUUGAAGUUUCAUCAACUGUCAAGGCAUGCUCCUGAUUUGGUGGCUGACAUAAGGGCGAGAAUGAGAAAGUUCACUUUUGGGUUUUCUCGAGAUCUGAUACUUGAAAGCAAAACUACUUUGCUGAUUAAGGAUAUCAAUAUUUUAAGGUUGGUUGUCCACAUACAGCAGGUAGAGGAAGAAAAGAAUAAAUAACCAAAAUUUGGGGAAAUGAUGGGUAAGAGGAGUAGGUUCUUUGAGCAGAGUUGUUCUCAGCAGUAGGGCAGUUGGGAUGGAGGUAAAUGGCUAAAGAAGAAGUAGGAGAGUUUGGGUUCCUUCUUCAGCUAGUGCUCCUUACCCUAGGUAGUCAGGUAACAGGCGUCCACAAGGUGGUGAUAAUUUUUAGGCACAGGGUACCCAAUUUCAGGUGAGUGGCGAUCAUUCAGCUUCUCCAUGACCUUCUUUCUAGUUCUAUGGUCGUCUUCAUCAAGGCUAUUAUGAUGAAGGCAGGAAUAAGUAUUUUAAAUAUGUCCAGCCAGGCCAAGCCCUAUGCUCAAAAAUUAUCUGAUCGAAAAGGGUGCAUCGAUAGCCGUCAAAGCUCUGAUUGGUUCAUCUUCUGCUUCUGCACCUAGUGGUGUGGCUUUGGCGUCUACUCCUACUUUUGGUACUAGCACAGGCUGCAAUAGGUUGUAUGCUCUUGCAUUUCGAUAGGAGUUUGAGGCAUUACUUGAUGUCGUUACUGGUAUGUUACAACUCUUUUCUCAUGACAUGUAUUAUCUGCUUGAUCUGGGGUCCACUCUUUCUUAUGUGACCCCAUUUGUGGUUGUAUGUAUUGGUUUUAAUCCUGAGAUUAUUUUGGAUCCUUUUUUUGUUUCUACCCCGAUAGGUGACUCAGUUAUUACUAAAAGUGUGUAUAGAGGGUGUGUGGUUUCAGUUGGUAGCAAGAAGACCUUGAUAGAUCUGUUUGAGCUGGAUAUGGUAGAUUUUGACGUUAUUCUGGGGAUGGAUUGGUUACACUCUCAUUACGCUUUCUUAGAUUGUCGGACCCAUAAGAUUAUCUUUAGGUUUCCUGGUGAACUGGUUAUAGAGUAGGAGGGUGGUUUGCUAGAUCCUAGGAGGGUUUAUUUAUUAUCUUAGAUCUCAGAGGUUAAUCUCUAAAAGGUGUCUUUAUCACUUAGUCUGGGUUAAAGAUUCUAACUUGGAAUGUCCUUCUCUAUAUUCAGUUCUAGUGGUAAAUGAGUUUCCUGAGGUUUUUUGGAUGCUCUUCCUGGUGUUCCUCUGGAUAGGGAAAUAGAUUUUGGUAUUGAUUUGCUUCUGGACACUCGUCCAAUAUCUAUCCUCCUUAUAAAAUGGCUCCGGCUGAGUUGAGAGAACUCAAGGAGCAACUUAAGGAUCUUCUGAAUAAGGGGUUUAUUCGUUCUAGUGUAUCCCCAUGGGGUGCACCGAUGUUGUUCGUACGCAAGAAGGAUAGUUCUCUUCGGAUGUGAAUUGACUAUCAAUAGUUGAAUAAAGUGACGGUCAAGAACAAGUAUCCUCUUUCAAGGAUAGAUGACUUGUUUGAUCAUUGCAUGGUGCCAAGUUCUUCUCUAAGAUAGAUCUUCGAUCUGGGAAUCAUCAGCUUAAGAUUAGGGAGGAGGAUAUCCCUAAGAGGGUUUUUCUACUUGAUAUGGGAACUUUAAAUUCUUGGUUAUGUCAUUUAGUUUGACUGACGCUCCUGCGAUGUUUAUGGACUUGAUGAACAGGGUUUUCAGGCAGUUCUUAGAUCUCUUUGUCAUUGUGUUUAUUGAUGAUAUUCUGGCUUAUUUCAAAAGUGAGGUGGAUCAUGCUAAUCACCUCCGUGUGAUGUUGCAGACCUUGAAGGAACAACAGUUGUAUGCCAAGCUCCUUAAAUAUGAGUUUUGGUUAAACGCUUUGACUUUUAUUGGUCAUGUUAUUUCUAGUAAGGGGAUCAUAGUGGAUCCUUAAAAGGUGGUGGUGGUUAAAAGAUGGCCUAAACCCACGACUCCAAUUGAUAUUCAGAGCUUCUUGGGUUUGGCUGGGUAUUAUUAGUGAUUUGUGAAAAGCUUUUCAGUGAUAGCUGCUCCUUUGACUAAGUUGGCUAAGAAAAAGGCAAAGUCUUCUUAGUCAGAUGCUUGUGAGGAGAGUUUUGAGAAGUUGAAAGAUAAGCUAACUUCGGUUGAUAUUUCCUGAGGGUAGUGAGGGGUUUCUGGUUUAUUGUGAUGUAUCUAGAGUGGGACUUAGUUGUGUCUUGAUGCAGCAUAGGAAGGUGAUUGCCUCUACUUCUAGGCAGUUGAAGGUGCAUGGAAGGAAUUACCCUACCCAUGAUUUGAAGCCGUUGGUGGUGGUUUUCACUUUAAAAAUAUAGUGGCAUUAUCUAUAUGGAGUGCACAUCAACAUCUUUUUCGAUCAUAAGAGUCUACAAUAUGUGUUAACUCAUAAGAAGCUAAAUCUCAGGCAGAUGAGAUAGUUGGAGAUUCUUAAGUACUAUGAUAUAAGUCUUCACUAUCACCCAGGUAAAGCUAACGUGGUUGCUGAUGCUCUUAGCGGGUUGUUCAUGGGGUGUUCGGCUCUUGUGGGGAAAGAAAAUUAGGAAUUAGUGAAAGAUAUUCACUACUUGGCUAAUCUUAUGAAAAUCAAGAGCAAUAUGAAUAUGCAAAAGGUAAUGGUGUUUGAGAUUUAUGGUGAUGGUACCAUACCAAUGGAGGUUGUAUGUUCCUGAUGUCAAUGGUUUGUGGCAAAGGAUCUUGGCCGAGGCACAUGAGUCGCGCUAUGUUGUACAUCCUGGCUCGAAGAAGAUGUAUCAUGAUCUCAAGAAGAUGUAUUGGCGGAAUGGUAUGAAAAGGGAUAUGGCUGAUUUUGUGUCCAAAUGCAUGGUGUCUCAAUGAGUUAAAGUUGAGCACAUGAAGCCUGGUGGGUUGUAUCAAGAAAUUGAUUUGCCCAUAUGGAAAUAGGAGGUAAUCAAUAUGGAUUUCGUUACCGGACUUCCUCGGUAUCAAAACCAAUUUGAUUCGGUUUGGGUCAUCGUAGAUAGGAUGACAAAGUAUGCUCACUUCUUCCCAAUGAGGAAUACUUUUUUGGCGAAGGAUUAUGCGAAUUUAUAUCUUCACGAGAUUGUGAAGCUGCAUAAGGUACCUAUUUCAAUUAUCUUAGAUCAUGGUACGCAUUUUUCAUCUCAUUUUUGGCGGGGUUUUCAGAAAGGAUUGAGUACUAAGGUGAGUCUGAGUACUGCUUUUCAUCCUCAGACGGAUGGGCAAGUGGAAAGGACUAUUCAGACAUUGGAGUAUAUGCUUCGGGCAUGUGUGAUUGAUUAUGGUGGUAAUUGGGUUGAGCAUCUACCUUCGGUAGAGUUUGCUUACAACAAUAGCUAUCAUUCUAGUAUUGAUAUGGCCCCUUUUGAGGCAUUGUAUGUUAAGAGGUAUAGAUAUCCUAUUGGAUGGUUUGAGCCUGGUGAGAUGGACAUGUUUGGUCCGAAUUUUGUUUAUCAGGAUAUGGAAAAAGGUAAAGGUGAUUCGGGAUAAGUUUAAGGCUGCCCAAAGUCGCCAAAAGUCAUAUACGUAUGUAAGGCAAAGAGACUUGGAGUUUGAGGUUGGGGAUAAGGUGUUCCUAAAGGUAUCUCCCAUAAAGGGAGUAAUGCGAUUUGGUAAAAAGGGGAAGCUCAGUCUCCGGUAUGUUAGUCCUUAUGUGGUUCUGCGAAGGGUUGGAAAUAUGGCUUAUAAAUUGGAGUUGCCUUCUAGUUUGAGCUUCGGUCAUCUGCUAUUUCAUGUUUCCAUGUUAAGAAACUAAAUUGGUGAUCCUUCUUCGAUUGUUACUUUAGAGAGGUUAGGUAUCUCAAACUCUCUGUCUUAUGAAGAGGUCCUGAUUGAUAUCUUGGAUAGGCAGGUUCGUCAGUUGCAGACCAAGGAUGUGGCUUCGGUUAAGGUUCUUUCGCGAAACCAUAAGGUGGAAUAAGCUACAUGGGAAGCGGAGGAGGCCAUGAAAUCCAAGUAUCUGCAUUUAUUUUUGCUCUUGGGAUUCUUGCGCAAGGUAUGUGUUCUUCAACACAUCUUUAUUUUCUAAGUUUUUUAAAGAAAAGAUUAAUAUCUUUGCAUCUUUGUUUUCAAACUUUGUUAAAUAUUGGGAAUAUAUUUGAUGAUGCAAAUGACUCGCGCGUGUGGUUACCCCCACCUUGUCCGUCAUUCAGGGAUAAAUGUUUCUAGUGGGGAGGUUGAAACACCCUGAUUUCUGGACCUUAGAAAAUUUUCUUGAUUUUUCGUUUAUGGGUAAGAUAUGACUUAGGGGAAUGAUCCAUACACUUGGGUACAGGUGGUAUGGUCCAAUUGUAUGCUGACCAAUAUUGGUUGAUGGGAUGGAUUUAGUUACUGGAAUGGAUACGAUUUGGGUGGUACAGUCGUAUAUGUGGAUAUGGGUUGUUUGGUUACUUCACUUAACAUUAGACUUGGUAACUUAAGUUGGAUCUGAGUACGAGUGGCUCACCAUGAACCGUAAGCCAGGGUAUGAGUUGUACCAUGGACUCAUAUGGUGGUAGUGUUCAGUCCUCUUAGGAUUCUAUUCUACCAGGAGUAUGGUUUAUGGGUACUAGUCGUACACUUGGAUACGACUUAGGUUUGGGUGUGUCGUACCUUGGACAGUGUUGGGUCCAAGGGGGAAAGCCUAGGGUACGAGAGGUGGGUACCACUCGUAUAGAAUGGGUACGACUCGUAAGGGUCAAUCGUACCCAAUGAUGGGAAUUAAGUGCUAUUUAAGUGAGGGCAAUCUGAAUAUUUCCCCACUUAUCCUAAUAAGGUCCCACGAAUUAUAUUGCAGUUGGGAGGUUAUUUUCCCUACUAUUUUAUUCUUAAACACUUAGAAAACAAUCUUAAAUCCUCUCUAGAGUUCUUAGGCAAAGGAAGCUAGGGUUUCAUCUUAAGAAGUAAAUAAGGGCUUGUCUUAGUGAUUUCUCUCCAUCAUCAUCUUCGUUUAAGGCAUGUUCUCUUCCCUCCUUGUUAGUUCCAACUAAAGGAAUGGAUUUUAUACAAUGUUUUCAUGAUUUGAAUGUUGUAUGAUUUUGAGUUUUCAAAUAUAAUUUGGGGGUUUGGUUAUAAAUGCUUGGUUAUGGUUUUCUCAUGUUUUAAUUAUGCUUUAUAUGUAUUAAUGGUGGUUUUGGAUAAUUGGUUGCAUGGGAAUGGUUGUUGGUAAUUGGCUUUGGUUUUGGAAAUACUAUGCCCCCAAUGUGUUUAAUAAAAUGCCUAUAACAAUGUUUUCACCAUAAUAUUGGGUUUUCAAUGGAACUUAUGCAUGGUUUAAACUUGGUAAUAGAACCCUAAAUGAUAUGAAUGGUCUAAAUGGUUUUGGAAUGGUUUGGCUUAUUAAACAUACUUGUGGGGUACAAGGGAAUCCCCCAAGUUAAUAUGGUAAUGGAUACUUGUGGUGUACAUGAGAAUCCACCAAGUUAAUUAGAUAAUAGGGUCUAUGGGUACAUGGGAAUUACUUGACCACUAAAAGGUUUGGCUAAGGACUAUACUUGCAAGUCAUAGACAGUAAGACAAUACCAAUACUAAUAUCCUUGAUUAAUAAUAAUGAAAUAAUAUUUUGGUUGGAAAGUGAUUUUAAUUAGGCAAUAAUGGCGGGGUGUGAAAGCUAACCGUUAAAGUGGGAGUCCAAUAAACACUGGAAACUCAUGCUUGCUGACAUAAGGGGUAGGUCAUGGCGAUCUUAUAUGAUACUUAUAAAGUACGCGAGAAUCUUUUAGGUACACUGUACAUAUGUAUCAUGGAGAGUGAAGGGUACAUGGGAAUCCCCGGCUCUUAUGGUAUCUCCGUUUCGUGCGGCUACACGCAUAGGGGCCUGUUCAGGGGGCUACACUGGACCAUAUAGCCCGUGGGUGGUUUUAGGACGGUUAAGCUUCACCUAUCCAAGUUAAAGGUUUUAAAUGCAUGCUAAACCCGAUUCCUUUUUCUGGCAUGGUUAUAUAUAUAUAUAUAUAUAUAUAUAUAUAUGUAUGUAUGUAUGUAUGGGUUAUGUGCAUAUGGAUAGUUUUAUUUGGUUUUCUUAAAUGUCAUUAUUUUAUCCUUAUACUGAGUUCAUGCUAGAGUUCACCCACUAACCCAUCUUCGAGUGACUGUAUCCCCAUGCGAUAAAGAACCAGCCGUUCUACUCUUCCUGCUUAGCAUUCGGACAUUCGGGGGUCAACUUUUGAUUGAAGUGGUGAGUUUUCAUUUUUCUGGAAGGCUCGAUUUCAUAGAUAUUAUUUCAUACUUUGGAUUAUUAUGGAUAUUGGUUUUGGCUAUGAUUGGGGGCAUGUCCCAACCGGAUCUUGGUAUUCUUUUUGUUAGAGGCUUUUGUGGAACUACUAUGGGUCAAAAUGGGCGGGAUCGGUAUGGGUGUCAGCCUUAGCAUUGGUAUUGUUGUUGGGGCUGACACGGCUACCUGCAUUGUUGGUUGUUCCAUCCUCUUUUAUUUUGGGAUUAUAUAUUUAACUAUUAAUGGAACUUAUUUGGUUAUGGUCGGAUUUCUAGUUUUGGUCUGUCUUGGUAUGGCUGGAUGGUUGGUAUGAGACGGUUUGACUCAAUUGGGUCAAUCAUGAUCGUGACCCUAUCCCAGAGUCUUCACAUAAGCCAUUACGCUAUUUUGUUAUAUGCUUGAAAUUCAGGGCAAACGACUGGAGGUUGGGUUGGGCUUUGGGGGUGGUCUCCGGUCCUGGUCGAACUUGGGGACGCCCAUUAUGACAAGGCCCCUGGUCGGGUUGUAUCACCUAGUUUGGCUUGAAGGGAGGAAAUCACCUCUUUCUUUCUCUGUAAUGCUAACUGUCGAGUGUUUUCUAAUUGAUGACGGACAUAGGAUAAUAUUAAUCUGAAUAAUCAACUUUGGGGUGACCUAAAUGACGUAGUUUUGGUGUUAAAAGAAUGGGAAAAGACUAUAAAUCCCCUUAUAAAAUGUGACUAAAAAUCUACAAAAUUGAGUAGUAUGGACCAUCCUAUGAUCGUUGGACCGACCUAUGAUCGUGUGUGGUGUUCGUUUGGACCGACCUAUGAUCGUGUGUGGUGCUCAUAGUUGAGUGGUUGCAUGGGAGGCUCUCUGGACUUGAUCAUAUGAUCCAUGGUAUAAUUUUGGAAUACAUCUAAGCCGUACUUUGGUUCAUAGGUUGAAAGUCCAAGCCAGAUUAGUUUUAGGACUCACGAUCGCACUUUAGAUCAUGGUUUUAAACCAAGACCGUAGGUGUACUUGUAAUUUUCAGGUGUUUGGGACUGUUUCAAUCAUAUGAGAGCAUUGUACGAUCAUACAAUCUCACCAAGAUCAUACCUACACUCGUAGGUUCUCACCGUUGGAUAAUGUCUCACUAAAAUAGCCAUAACUCUUAGCUCUAGAACCAGAUUAAGGUAAAACUAGAUUCAUUAGAAAGAAGACUCAAAUACCUUUCAUUUAGUUGGUUUUGAGCUAAAAAAUACUUCAAAAUAUAUGAGUUGUGAUCUUUUAAAAUAUACUAUAAAAGGAUUCUUCAUAAGAAAUCAAUCGGUAAGGAAUGUUUUAACUUGGCGUUGAGCUAGGAGUUACUUAUGGCCUUAAUACAUGUCUAAAUCACUUCUCAUACUACCAAAAUAUGAUGUUUAUUCUAUAUGUACUUGAAGCAUGGUUCUAAUAUUAGGUUGAAAUUUUAGGGUGUUACAAUCUUUCUCUAUGUUUGUAGCUUGGGGCGCAUACUCACGAACAAGAAACUUUACACCUGCAAAUGCUGCUGCACCAACUAGUUUUGCAUGUUGGAAAUGUCUCUGAACGAUCCCUCAAAAUUUAUUUGGGACCUCAUAGAAAUAAAUCAAAUAUAUUACUAGGUUAUUUUGAUGUUUCGGACUCAAUGAUAAUGUCAGAUUUUUAAAAAGAGGCCGUUUAAUACAAAUUAACCCCUAGGAUCCGUAAAAGCUUAUUUUAAAACUACUUUUUGAACAAAGAGUCAAAAUACCAAAUAAAUAUUCCAAACCGAAAACAACCCCUCUACUAACCCAAGAUCGAUAUUUCAAGUUUAAUAAGACUAUCCAAAUCGCCAUUCGGUGCUCAAAAGAUAAAAUAUUGACUGAAGUCAAACUUAUGACUUUUAAAGUCUUCUAGAGUCUUAAAUUCUCCCAAAUCAUUCUCAAAUGUAUUGGGGAUCAUGCCAACCAUCUCCAUACCUUAUAAUCAGCAUGUAACAACCAUGAAAAAUAGAAAAAUGGUCAAAACACAUAAAAAGGAAAAAUUUAACACCUCAGGUUGUUACAAAAAUAAAGUUUAGUGAGUGUCUAGGUGAAAUAUAUUGACAAAUUUUAAAAAUAGACUAUUAUUUCUUGUUCUUAUAUUAGUUUAUUCUGUCGAAUGUUUUUGUUCUUGAGUUGGGAGUCUUUCGAAAACAACCCCUCUACCUCACCUUUGAGGUAGUGGUAUUGAUACGAGUCAAAUGUCCACCUUAGCUUUUGAUGACAUCUUUGAAGGCCAACACCUAAAGGCUCAAGACUUGGUCACCCCAAGAGCACAAGGAUACACAAGGAAGGAUCAUUUUGAGCAUGACUUAAAGCAAUCUCGGGUGUGGAAGGUUGCUUGGUUGCUUACAUUGAUGCUAACCCGAGAAUCACAAGCCUUGAAGUAUGAACCAUACUCGGUUUUUGAGAGCAUUGAAAAGGCGUCAUUCAUUCAAGUUAUAACAUACCUUGGUUGCCCCUACAUUAAAGGUAUUUUAUACAUUAAAUAUGGUGUAUUUACACACCAUGGCAGCCCCUCUCAUUAAGGGCAAAGUGGUAUUUUUAUCUUCAUUUGUAAUAUAUUAUAAAUAGGCCCCUUUAGACUUAUUUUUCACUAGUUUUGGAAGAAUGAAAGAUUAAAACACAAAUCCUCUCUCUUGAGAGUAGAACACUUUAGGUAAUCUUAGUUUAGGGCUUGGAAAAGCUAAUAUUGAUCUUUGCUUGGAAACGAUGAAUCUUGAGGUGAGUUGAUUCCCUUGGCAGUCACCGUAAAAGUGUGGUUUGAAUUAUUACAUUCAUUAGGGGUUUUUGAGUUUAAUACACUCUUUAGUUCUUAAUAUUGUGAUAAUCUUGAUCUCACUAUCCAUCCUUUACUUUUGUUGUUGUUAUCUUGUGUAGUGGACUGUUUUGGGUCCUUUAUUGAAUCCGAAACUUGUGUUAUUGUUGUUCAUCUUGUUCAUCACGCUUUGUAGUUGUUUUUUGGUGAUAUAUACAUCAUUGUAUCUUGUAUUCUUCUUGUUGAUAGCGAAUCCGAGAGUGGUCUCCAAAAAGGUCCUCGGAUCCUUAAAAUUUGCGGAUUGUUUUGGAGUUAUUUCGUGUUUCUCUUGUCUUUAUUGUAUCAGGUAUGGAUUGUCUACAUUUUACCUGCCUCAAACUCUAUUUUGUGGGCAUAUAAUGAGUAUGUUGUUAUUGUUGUUGUUGUUGUAUUAAGGACCCAUUUUGUCAUGCAAGAUGAAAUCAUUAUUUGAAAUCAUGAUCAUAUGUAACACCCCGAAAAUGGGUCCCGAGACGUCACACGGUGCUCAAGACUACGAGUAGCCUUAAGCUAACCUUAUAAGCCAUCUACUAAAUCUGAAACUCAUAAUAAGGAAGUACAGAUAUACAAUCAAGCUAAAAUGCAGAAUUCUGUAUGAGCUAAGCUGAAAAUAUCGAAAUAUAAUAUUUGAAAAUACUAAACUCAAGAGUCUGAUCAAUCAAUACUGAAAAUCUGAAGCAUAUCUAGCAGUCUGACAAGCCUCUACCACUAAUGCUAGAGUGUCACUGGGACAAACCCCCAGCUGACUCGAACUGUCUAAAAAUACUGAAUCAUCUAAACUAAUAAGCUAAAAAACUGAAUGACUAAGUCCCCGAACUAUGAGGACUCACCAACUAUCGGGAUGUAAUGGAGAUGCUCAAAAUCACUCACGUUGCUGAAACUGAGCACCUGGACCUACAUUAUGAGACAAUGUAGCACAUAGACGUAUAUGUGGAUCAGUACUUCUGGAUUGUACUGAGUAUAUGGGAGUGAAUGCAUAAGUAAAUCAAUAUCUCAAUAUUAUUAUAAAUUUGUAAAAGAAUGCAUGCUAAAUGUAGAUGACUCACAUAAGCUGGAAUAUCUAAAAACUAAAAUCAUAAUCACAUAAGCUGGAAUAGAAAAAUAUGGUUCAUAGAUCUACUGAGUCAUAACAUUUAGUUUCUAAAAGUUGUACUUGUAUUCUAUCUUAAAAUCAUGUUGUCCAAGUGUAGAAAAGACUCACUUUUACAUAUGAAAUCUGAAAGCUAACAUCUGUAACUAAUGUUUCAUACAAGGCAAAAUCUGAAUAAAGUUUGUGAGCCUUUACACUUAGUUUCUAAAAGCUUUUAUGUUAUUCUUUACUCUUUUCUGCAAGUUGUAUGGAGGUUCUUCUAACCGACAUACACUAUGUGAGUUAUCAUAGUGUCCAACGUCUAGUUCCCUUAUGGGAAAACCUCAAGUUGGGGAGAGGUGUCAUGCUCUUGCUAAGGAGUAUAACCUAAUCUAAGUGAUCACACCUGUAACUGUCAUCCAUAUAGAAAUGAAAACAAUCUGAUAAUUUGUACCUACAUUGAUUCGUAGUUCUGAGGCAUGUAAAUAUACCCAACUCGGUACUAAAUACUACUCCCUUUAAAUCUGUAUGCUCAUUCUGUAGGAAAUUCACUUUUAAAAACUAAUAUAAGAGUUUCUAAUGAAAACCUCUUGUAAAUCUGUUUAUUAUAAACUGUAGCUAAAUUUGUAAAGUGGAUUCCAUAUCUAAGCUGAGAUCAAAAGAUCAAAUCUUUAUUCAAAAUCUAAAUAUAACAAAUCAUGGGAUGCUUAAAAGCAUAAUCUUCUUAAAAUAACAACAUUCAAAGUAGGGCUAAUAACCCAUACAUUAAAUUCAUGUCAAAUCAUAGUAAAGUUCAUGCUUAGUAAUGAAAGCAUUGAAAUUCAAUUCUAAAUCUGGAAAUUUAUAUCAUACGCAUGAAAAUAUGAAAGUAAACAUGCAAUUCAACCUCUAAAUCACUUGUAAUCUCAUAAUCUUGCAAAUAUCAAUAUUGGGUAUGAACCCUAAUUUGAAUCUCAUGUAAUUUCAUAUAAAACUCAACUUCAAAACUAAUUUUGGGCACAAGAAUGAAAGGAUUAUCAUUGUUGAAAAAACCCACAUACCUUAAUUGAUGAUUAGAUGGAGAAACUUGAACUUUUAGUUCCUAUUUGUGCUCUUGAAGAUAGAUUCUUGAAGUUAUUGAAUUGGUAAUCUUUAAUUUUGAGCUAUCUUGGAAAAAGAAUGGUGGAAUUUGGAUUUCUUGGGAAUGAAGGUUUGAAGUUCUAGGGUUUCUUCGAGAGAAAGUUGAUGAAAAGUGAGCAUAAUAGGCUUAGAAUAGGUUUAAUCCUCUGUUAUUCGCGAUUUGGGGGUUUGGAAAAAGACUAAAUUGCCCUUUUAAAAUUUUACUCGAAACUGGAAAUCCCAAUUUUGCCUCCCACAGCGAUGCGCCGCUAUCGUGGUGGCUUACUGAAAAAAGGACGAUCACCAUUUCGGCCUCUGGCAUGACGCGACGUAAUCGCGUUGCGUCACUAGAAAAGAACGAGUGCCAUUUUGCACUCCACCACGAUGCGGUGUCUGUCUAAUUGAAAAUUUUGAUGCGAUAUAGGCUAAUUGCGGUAAGUUACUGGAAUGGAACGAACGGUAACUGGAGCUUCACCGCGACGCGGGCCAAUCGCGAUGCUUUACUGAAAUCGGACAAUUGUGAAUUUGUCCUUCAUCGCGACGCGGUGCUUAUUGUGGUGAUCUACUGCUUUUACUAAAAUCACCAUAACUUCUUAACCGAGUAUCGGGUUUAGGCGAAUUGGUAUUGUUGGAAAGCUGAUCAAUUAUCUACACAUUGGUGGGUCUAGAACUUGAAAAUUCUACACGCAUCAAGAGUUGUACACUUUCAAAGCUAACCCUUGACACACUAGGCGCUAAAUUGAGCUAGGAAAAGUAUGGGGUAUUACAUCAUAUGAGAUAGUAUAAUCAUUCUUUUACAAUCUUACAAAAUAAGCAAAAGUUCAUAAAGAAGAUAUGAUACACUAACACAAAGCUAUUCUAAAAAAAUUGCAACAUUUAUUAAUCAAACUUUUGUUCAACUAAAAGUAAAAAUGAACAUGAGUUGUAGUUUAGUCCUCUUCAACAGAAUCCUCCUACAUAGCAUGGAUAAUCUCCUCACAUUGAGCAAGUAUUUCGAAAGGACGAAACAUCAUUGUUAUUUUGAUCCAUUAGUUGGUGAAGAUCAAGAGUAAUAAUACCAACUAUAAGUGAAUUGUAAUUCACAAGAAAGUAUAAUACACUAUCAUAAAUCUAUUCUAAAAAAACACAGUACUUAUUGAUCGAACUUUAGUUCAAUAAAAGAUAAAAUUUGUGGUGUAUUCUCUAAUAUAAACCUCCUACAUAGCACGGACAAUCUCCUCAUGUUGAGCAUGUAUUUAUCGAUCAGAUGACCGAGAAUACAAAACGAUAUUGUUACUUUGAGCCAUUUGUUGGUCGAGAUCAAGAGUAAUAAUACCAACUAUAAGUUAAUUAUUAACAUCUGCAAUAAAUGGUUGGUUUAUAUAAAAAGGUGAAAUUUCUUACAAGAUAUAAUCUUGUGGGUUAAUGUUUAUAUUAAAAAAAUAAAAUCAUGAUAUAAAAUCGCAUGUCCAAACACUAAUUUCAUAUCAUGAUCUCAAAUUACAAGAUGAAAUCACAUAUUCAAAUUCCUACUAACUAAAUGUAUAAUAAUUUUGACGAACACCAUAUUUUUUUUUGACGAAAACCCAAUUCUAUUGCUCCGACUUGGUAUUAGGUAACUUAGAUAAAAUUUCUCAUUUUUAACCUCCUCUUCCCCUUCUAGUUAUUCUUAUCCAAAAAUCCUACGUGUUCGUUAUAAUUGUCAUAUCUUUAUCCGAGUUAAUAAAUACCCCUAGAACAAAAAACAUAUGUGUUAUGAAUUUGAAUCAUCAAGAAAAUAAAAUAGAAAGAGAGCUUUUAAGAUAUUUUUUACUUUUUAGAUAUAAAUGUGAUAUUUUGGGGGGCAAUAAACUAUAAAUUAUUACCAUACCAUCAAUCAAUUACACCUAAGAGCGUCUAUACCCUUGGUUGUCAAAAAACAAAAUUUAGUGAACCUCAGAGCUAAUUAUAAAUUGCAAAAAGUAAAUGACUACACUAUCUCCUUCUCUUAGUUCCUUUGAACAUGUCUACCCUUUCUUUAACUACACUUUGGACUUGUUGAGCCACAAAAUUUGUCUGUACAAUUACCCCUUUUAAAAUUUUGUAAUUCCUAGUUAGCCAUGCUUGAUAUACUACUGCUCUUUAUCCUUUAGGGUGUCUUGCACACAUUGUGGUUCCAAAUUUAUUCCAAUAUACGUUUUAAUUACCCUUCAAGCAUCCCUAAACUAUAUACAUUCAGGACGCGCAUAAGUAUACAUUACACAUUCAACAUUACCCUAUCCAGCACCUAUCAUCUACAACCUAUCUUUGAAAUGUCAUCAAAUGGUUCAAAUGUCAUCAGGUUGUGAUCUUUUCUUUCUCAAAUGCAGCCUGAGUUUGGUUGACUAAACUAUGUAGCACUUGUUUAAGUCUACUAUACAUCAAUUUGGAGAUAUAUUUGCACACAAUAUUAAAGCAGGCAAAUGGUGAACUAACUUGCAUUUACAUGCUUAUUCACCUCAGGAAUUAAGAUGAUUACUAUGGCAUUAAGUUGUUGCAACAACUUACUAUUCUAAAAAAAAUCCAGAAUUACAUCUGUUAGCUAUGCCCUUACUAUAUCCCAAGAGUCUCUGAGGAAACCACUAUUAUAGCUUUCUUUACUUUCUUCAUUUUAUAACCAUUAAGUAAUGUCAUUUGUUAGGACACUAUCAAAAAACCAUAGAUAGUGUAGUCCCAAUCUUUAGGAACAUCUGGCAAGCUUUAUGUCUUGGUGUUUUUCCUAUUUCUCCAAGAAGUUUAGUGCAGUUCUGGAGAAAGAUCUCAAUAAUCUUUUGUGGCUCAGUAUGGGUUUACGUAUGAUCAUCUUGCAAUUGUAUCACUACCUGAGCUAGGCUUCUCUACUUUAGAACUGAGUAAAAGUACUUAGUAACAUCACCAAGCCAGAUCUAUGUAGCUUUGCUUCUUUGAACCAAUUGUUUUUCUGCCAUAUAACUCACUUUCUUGAACUCUUUUCCAACAUCUCUUUCUCCUUAUGCAAGUGAUGAUUACGGGUAUCAUUUUGUAACUUGUUAUGGACAUCUAAUAGCUUCCCUCUAAGGUCAGUUACUUCAGCCAAUAUAUUACUUAAAUGCUAAAAGUGUAUCCCCUCAGUACAAUUUUCAGCUUCUUAAGUUUAGUGGUGACUUUAUAUAUAUAAUGGCCUUUGACCUGGUACAGUUAUCCCUCUCUCAUCAUACAAUGGCCUUUGACCUGGUACAGUUAUCCCUGUCUCAUCAAGUUCUGAAACUAUUGGUGUUGACUCUACAUAUUAGAGUACUUAAAAAGAGGUCUUUUCCUUGGCACAAUACCUUCAAGUUUAACAUGAAUUGAGCUAUGGUCACUUACCCCUUCAUUGAGGAAAUAAUAGUUACACCUAAGCAUCUCAUCUACCCAUACACUAUUUAUUAAAGACCAGUCAAUAAUACCCUAUUAGUUUCUCCUUUAUCAUUCCAAGUUUAAUUACACCUAGUACUAUCUAUUUCCUCUUACAAACAAGUAUUUAGGCAUUUUUGAAAAUCAACUAGCUCUGCUAAAGAGACAAGGUUGCCCCCUACUCUAUCCCCACUAUGCUAUACUGAAUUGUAAUCCCAUAAAACCAACCAAGGGAUGUGCAUCCCAAUACUCAACUUACACAAAUAACUUCAUAGGUCUUUUCUUUCCCCUCUUCCAUUGUGGGCAUGUACAAAAGUGACAUGAAUUUUUGUUGUAGUUUAAAAUCUUUGACUAAGCAUGUCACAGCUUGAGCAUUCUUAGAACAAAUAGUAACUUCAGGUUUAUCUUCUCUCCAAUCAACCCAAAUUCUCCCAUUAUAGUGAGAGACGCGAUCAGAGUGAUACUUUUAGCCACUAAACAUACUAUCUGCUAUAUUUAUCUUAGCCUCAAGUAGACCAAAUAUAUAAGUUUUAACUGAUUACAGAAGAAUUUUACCUCGCUUUAUUUUAUGAGACCUCUAACAUUUCAACAGAUUAGGUUAACUAGUCCCCACAGAGAUUGGUCUAGUAUCAACCAUAUUUUUCACUCCAGUGUAUUCCACUUCCACAUGCUGCUCAAAGGUUUGAAAAGAGUUUGUUGUAGGAAUUGUUGAGGAAGAUGGAGGUUGUACAUUUCUCUUAAACACUCUCCUCUGAAUUCUAUUUCCUACAAUUUUUGCUCUUGGACCUUUUUCUUCCCUCUACCAACUUGAGUUGCAAUUGGUUUCCUCUCCAGCUGGUUACCUUUGGAUCUAGUUGCUUUUCGAGGUGUAAUUUCCUACAUUCCUCUAUUUUAUGACUAUACAUAUGAUAGUGUUCACAUAUGGAAGGCUUCCAAUCAUAAGUCACCUUCUGUGUGAGCCACUACUCUCUUUUCAUUCUUAAACAACACUUCAUCAGGAAAAUCUCCAUCCACCCUGACCUCAACAAGUAGCUUUCCAAAGCUUAAGCCCAGUUUUUUUAGGGUGUUGGUCAACCAUCAAAGGCUUCCCCACUAAGCUGCCUAUCUUACUAAGUCCUCUAACACUCUAGUAUUUAAAAUCUAAUCUGGAUAGCUUAAUCCAUAUAGGAACAGUCAAUAAUUACUCCUUCAAAAACUCCAUCUCUUGGGACUAAGCUUUGAUAAUAAGAGGUUUAUUGUCAAAAUAGUAGUUACCUCCUUGUAGAAUCUUUAAUUUACCCUCUUCUGUGUCAAAUCGAACCAAAACAAUACCAUAUUUCCCCAUAUAUCCAUUGUAUGUAACUAUUUAAGACAAAAAGGGAGGGUGAUAUCCUAGGACUUAACAGACAAUAAUGCUUUGCCAAUGAUCUAAUUCAGAGCUAAUAUCAUCCAAUUAAAUUUCCCCUAUCAGUUCGUCUCCUAUACUCUCAGGGUUAACAUAUUACAGUUUGAAACAUGAAUUAGCAAGUUUUGAUAUGUCGAAAGUUUUCCAAAUUGAAUUUACCUUCACAACAUGCCUUUUCUCAGAUCCCCUCAUCUGUGUGCCCCUAUUUAGCUGGUCAUCAACUUGAUCCAUCUCGUUUCCUCAUGAUAUUUUUGAACUUGCUCCAGAGAUAUGUUAUGUCCAUUCUUAGACUGUAGCUUCCACCAGAGUAGGAGGUAUCACUGGUGUAGAUAAAUUAGUUUGGGUCAUAAUUCUCGUGAUACUUUAUUGGUCAAUAAUCGCUAUUGCUCCAUGAGGCUUUGUUGGAAGAGGACCUCAAUUGAUUGACGUUUCCGAAUAAGAAUUGGAUGAUCACUUUUCACCGACAAGCUUGCCAUUGAACUUUUCGUCAGGGUUGCGUUCUUCGAUCUCCUCCCAUGGCUGGCGCACGUUAGUUACGUCAAAACAUCCACAUGUUAUUAUUAUUUAAAAUAUAAAAAAACUACAUAAACUAAC